CAAACUGUUCAUACAAGCUUUGUGUGAGCUGCUGCCAAGAGAUUAGAAACGGUUUUGUUUCUGACUGUAAACUGACAAAUAACGGUAACAUUAUUUGUCCACCUCAAGGCAUGCGGUACUGUGGUCUGAGGUUUCUGGAGUUGAAGUCCACGUAUCCAGUUAACUGGAUAUCGGAACUGCUAACAAAAGCAGAAUCCGUAGCUGAUGCUCAUGAACCUUCUGAAGGAGCAUGCUCAUGCUCGGGAUACAAUCAUGGGAGUGAAUCGGAUAACUUCCAUUGUCCCACAGUUGAGGGCGUUGAAACAGCGGACCAAAAACAUUUCGAAUGGCCCCUUUAUAAAGGUGAGCCUGUAAUAGUCCCUAACGUCCUCAGGAGAACGACUGGGUUGAGCUGGGAACCGUUAGUCAUGUGGCGCGCCUCUCGCAAAAUUAAAAGCACUCAUGACUUGCGUAUUCUUGAAUUCAGCGUAACGAACUGCUUAAAUUGGUGUGAGGUAGGUCAACUUCUCUAGUAUGUUUUACCCUACCAGAGUGGCGUAAAUUAAAAUCCAGAAUAUGUGAUAUCGGAACUGCUUAUGAAAGUAGAGUCCAUAUCUAGAAGGACUAAUGAGAUAAUACGUGUUUCUUUGGGUGUGACAGAGGAAAAGAAGCGACUCAAAUAAUUGUCAUCAGUGUCACAGAAACGGCAAAGAAAUUGUUAUGCAAUGCCCCAAGUGCUAGCAGAAGAAUUACACACAUUCCCUGCUUCUGGGUUAUUUUUGGCGAAAUCCAAUAGGGUCAAGGUAAAUCGACUUCUCUACUAUGUGAAAUAUGUCGUUGGGUGACACCUUUGCUCAUUUUGGCAUCCUUUUGUUUGUUAGAUUAUUUACAAAUUAAUUUUCUGAAAAAAUCAUGAUGUUUUUGAAAUGAUUUGAUUUCUGGACUAUGGCAUGUGCAGGAAACUAUCAACAUGCACCAGUUUUUCGAAGGAUAUGUUGAAUCUCUCAAGAACAACUGGCCCACCAUUUCUAGAGUUCGUUAGAUCCUUGGCCGCAAGCAUUGCACCCAUCGUCAUGAUUCAGUACUCAACCGCAUAUGAAAUACUAUUUUUUAAAAGAGAUUCCACGCAUCGCUAACAAAAUAAACUCCAUUUGCAGAGUCGUAUUCGUCUUAGUGACAACAUGAAAGAAGGAACUUGUAUUUACGUGGUUUUUCGUCCAAUGGAUUAUCUACCGAUAAGUUGAUGUAUUUACCUUGAUUUGUUUACUCCCUUGUAAUAAACUCCAUUGUAGAUUCUUAUUCGUCUUAGUGACAGCAUGAAAGAAAGAAUUUGUAUACUUUUUAAUUUUUUUUCUCGAAUAGAUUAUUAUCAAUCGAUUAGUUGAUGUAUUUCGCUGGUUAUUCAUAUGCUACACCCAGUGAUGACCACAUCGGGGUGAUUUUUUACCGGUGACCUACACACACCAAUGUGGGUGUGUGUGUGUGUUUGUGUAUAUGAAUGGUAAAGAUCUACCUGGUGUAUUUCACCCGAUGUAGCAUAUAAUAUACCUAUUUCGCCUUGAUUUGUUCGUUGGGUAAAAGGUACUUACUCUUGUCCGUAACGCUUGCUCGCUUAUACUUCGAAAAUUGUCGUUUGACUACCGAUGGUGUUAGUGGUGUAAAUAAAGUUGUAAUUUUAUCAAAAAAAUCCAAUUCCGAUUUCGUUCAAAAAAAUAAAUCACAAACCGUAAUGAUUUUUGGGAUGAAAUUGAUAAAAUCAAGUGAAAUUGGGGCUAAAUGGAAUAUAGGUAAAAAGAUGGGGAUUGAAAGGGUUAUUGUUUCGAGUACAAAAUGCACUUUGCCCCUUUAGCCAAUUUUUUUGGAGGGUAUAGUGCAACAAAAAUUACAUUUUAAAGGGACAAGGUGCCAAAAAGUAAUGUUUUUAAGGGGCAACGUGCAAUAAAACUAACAUUUAAAGGGGCAAUGUGCAACAAAAAUCCUGAAUUCCGAUGAAUACUCCAUCGAAAUUUUGCUAUCGGGGCAAUGUGCAAGAAUAAUACUUUGAAGGGGAUAUUCAUUUUUUAAAAAAUUGAGGGGGUAAAGUGCGAAAUUUAGAAAUUUAUAGGGGGCGAUGUGCAAUUUUCCAUUUUUAAAUGUAUGUAUAGGGAUGGAUAUUGGAACGGAAUUUCCGAAUUUCGUCAAUUCCGAUUCUAAAAUAUCCGAAUUUGGAACACUUUUUUUUCAUUCCGAUUUCCGAUUUUUCCGAUUAUUUUUGGAACGGAAUUAGAAUUACAUAUAAAAUUAUUGAAAAUUCCGAUUUCCGAUCCGAUUGUAUUUCCGAAAGAUAUAUAUAUAUAUAUAUAUAUAUAUAUUAUUUUUGUAUUGUUUUUCUAUUCAUGUUUUGCUAGAACUAUGUUUACUUUUUUUUUUUUCUUUUUAAAUUUGCAAUAAUUAUGGUUGCUUUGAUAAAUCAAUUAUGUUGUUUUUACAAGUGUUUAACUUUCAUCUUAUUGACAUUUGCUUCGGAUUUUUGCUUGUUGUCGGAAAAUUACAAAAAUAUUAAAAAAAUAUACUAAAAAUUACUAUUAUUUCUGAUUUUGGAACAAAAAAUUACGAAUUAAUGCAAUUUUCGAAAAUUCCGAAAUUCCGCCGAUUCCGAAGUUCCGCCGAUUCCGAGGUAUUCCGAAAUUGGAAUAGAUUUUGAAAUUCCGAUUUUUUUGGAACGGAAAUUGGAACCUAUUUUUAACUUUCGAAAAAAAAUGAAAAAUUUCCAAAAAGGCAUUUCCGAUCCACUCCGUCCGAUUUCCACCCCUAUGUAUGUAUCUAUGUUUGCACUUUGCAUGUAAUUUAAGUGUGCAAAGUAGGGAUGGGAUUGGGUUGGGUCGGUCGAUUACCAGCCUAAAAAUCGACCCAUCCGUCAAACCAUUUUUGCUCAAAUUUGAAAACCGUUGCCGACCCAACCUUUGUGGGUCGGUUGAUGGUUGUCAACCGAAUAUUUGGUUCCGAAAUGGGUCGGUUGGUGGUUUAUACCCGCAACUUAGUUCACUUAAAAAAAAUCAAAUUUUGGAGUAAAAUAUCAAUGCAACAGUGCGAUCAUCAUUUAUCAGUUCAAAAUAAUUAAAUAACAAUUUAACGAAAAAAUAUAAUUAGAAAAUUCAAAGUAAUUUCAAACAUGCACAAGAGAUUUAGUAGAGUUUUGUGAGCUUUUUGUUUAAACUUGGACAUAAAGAAACUCGUGGAAGAUUUAGGUCAUUUUUUUUUUCUUUGUUGAUUGUUUUUAAAAUUUAAAAUACUAAUUAUUUUGAUGAUUUCAAUAACCACUUAAGAAAACACGGCUUUUGUUUUAUAUUUUUAGUAAAAUUUUAAUAAUAUAGUUGGAUAACCGAUAAUUAUCGGUCAACCAACUUUUGAUAAUAUUAGAAACCACCAACAGACCCAUUAUAGAUGGUUUUAGUGAAAUUUUCGACCCGAUCCAAUGGGUUGGUUAAAAAUUGAUUAUCCGCCUAAAAAUAUGGUCGGUAAUGGGUCGGUUGGUGGAUAAAAACCAACCCAGUCCCAGCCCUAGUGCAAAGUGUCAAUUACCGAAAAUAGUGUGGAAAAAUAAUAUAGGAUUAGUAUAUGGGUCAAAAGUAUAUUUGAUAGCAAUAAUAAAAGAUAAAAUCAUAAAUACAUACAUUUUUCGGUAAUUGUUUUGAUCGGCCAGUCCAAAUGCCCACACCACCGCCGCCGCCGCCGCCGCCACCGCCACCGACUUCACCAGAGUCACGCUUCCGUCCUAUUAUACUGUGGACAAUGCUGAGUUGGUGAUUUCAAUUUAGGUAAGAUUAAAUUGAGAUUCAAUUUUAUUGCCUUUCACGCACGCUAUUACCAAUAUGAAAUUGAUACUCAUCCUUUGCCCUAAUUAGUUUUAAUCUCUUACUUUUCGUCGAUCAGUUGGACUGUUCGUGAGAUUAUGAAAUUCAGUAUUUGUCUGAUUGUAUCAUGAUCAUCUCCUUUUCGAUUUUCAAUUAGUGUAGUAAACAACCCUUUGCUUAUUAUUACUAUCUAAUUCUUCAAGUUCGUUCUAACCGUGGUUGUUAAUUUGAAGUUUAUCUGGAUCUGUUUUUUCAUUUCCAGAAAUCUAAUUCACAUUUUCCAGACGCAAAUAUCAAGUUUUUAUAUGUGAAUUCGCAUCUAUUUUCUUGCAUCAAUUCGCAAGUUGUUGAAACUCCAAUAAUUGAAAUGGUCGGGAUAUGCAUUUUUUUAUAGAAGAAGAUAUUCGUAAAAUGUUAGUUGUACUGUUGGCUUGAAAUGAGAAGAAAUGCUUUAUAUAUUCUUCUACGUAUAUGAUUGAAAUAGACAUCCUUUCCAUGUAUACAUACAUACAUUAAGCAUUCAAUUUUAUUGUCAUGUCUCUUAUUAUUGGCUAGUUUUCGUUCUCUCUUUCUACGUAAGAAAAUGUCAGUUAGUAAGUUCUAAAGUUCGUUUUUCGUUUAAUUCCUUGCAAUUUUAUUUGCUAUACAGAAUAUAAAUAGAGAAUAAUGGUGUUGGCUAAGAGCGAUCAAGACUGAGAUGAAAUGCCAAAACCAAAGAGCAAUCAGUUUUCAGCAUUACCAAAGUAAGUUUGGUACAAUUUACUAGUGGUUCGGUUUUGGUUAAUGAAAUGCCAAAGAGAAAUUUCUAUAUUUUUUCUCAUUUUUCAGAAAAUUCAAUUCUACCUGAUCUAGAGGAAUUUAUGAACCAAACCAAAUUGUUUGGUUUUGGUAUUAAGUUUGGCAAAAUGCAAACUGAUAUUUCUGUUUGCUAAUGGACAGGCCUAUUAGCAGUGGAUAUUGGGCUUACGUACUCUUUCGAAAAUCCGAGAAAUGGCUAAUGAAGAGUCCACAAAACAUAGUAAGGUACUGUCAAACCCUACGAAUAUAAUUUGCAAAAUCGUAUGCCGGCUAAAAUUGGUUAAUGCUAAUACGUUAAAUGAGCUGGCAUGUUGGUGGAUGGAUAAAGGCACAAUUUAUUGCGUAUCAGCUGCAUUGACUGCCGGUCUUAUCACGGCUGAUUUUCUCACCACUAUAUAACACUCGUUUGCCUGCCCCCAUUCAUUCCCAUAUCGCCAUCUCUCUAUUUUCCUUUCAGUUUUCUACUUUUCUUCUCACCAUUUUCUCAGAUUUAAGGCUUUUGCUUUAUCUUUGAUUGAAAAUAAGAAGAGAUUUGUUGUUUGAUAUUUUUUAGUUUUUAAUUUAGUUUUCGAUUGCACUUUUUUUUCUUCUUUCUUAUUCUUUGUUGGUCCUACCUUAUCUCCUUAGCUGUAUUCGACAUUCAGUUUUCUAUCUUCAAACCAUUUUCUGGAUUGAAGGCUUUUGAUUUAUUUCUGGAUGAAAAUCAGAUGACACAUCUGAUUGGACAUAAUUAAUUUUAUCUUAUUUUAGUUUUUGACUUUUAUAUUUUCUGAUUAUGGUUGGUUUACUCAUCCAUUUCUUUCUGUUCAAUUUUCAUUAUUUCUCUGGAAAUUCUUGAAAACAUGGCAGCUCUUACUAUGGAUUUGGGUGAAAUCAUCUAUAUAUCAGCUGAUUGGAAAACUAGUUUUUUUGAAUUCAAUAUUCACCAAACCAUCUCUCUUUGCAUUAUUCAAACUGCCUAAAGAGUCCUAUGCGAUGCAUAAUCCACCCCUCAGUAGCGAAUCUCAAUUUUUUUCUGCAAAACUAGAUAUUCAAAAGUGAGAACUAAGGGUUCCUAUGUAAUAUGUUAAUAUCUUCGUCUUUCGGUGUGACAAACGCAAAUAAACUCAAACAAUUGUCCUCAGCGUCACAUGUGUGUUAAAGAUAUAGUUGUUAGAUACAUCAAAUGCAGUUUGAAGGAUUAUUGCGUUCUCAGCAUCACUAAGUUGUGAAUAAGUUUGUUGUUGAAGAUACUUAUCAUUCCAGUGUUUCAAUUUUAUGUUAUGCUACUAAAAUUAUAUCUUUUGCAUCUGGAAAUUCUUUGACUGGAACCAAUCUUGUGACGUAGGCUUCCAAGUUGUCACAGCCUAAGAAUUUCCACGACACAAAAGAUUUUAGUAGUGUCUAACAAUUGAGCAUUGAAGUAUAAAAUGUCUCCAACAACAAAAGUUCUCAACAUUUAAUAAUGCAUGAAACGGGAUAGUUCUUUUUAUUGCAUUUGGUGCAUCAUAAAACUAUUUCUUCAUCAUUCUUGUGGCAUUGAUGACAAUUGUUUGAGUCACUCUAUCAUACUCGAAGAUAAAAAUGUUAACAUUAAAAUCUAUAGUUCUCACUUUUGAAUAUCUUGUUUUGUGAAGAGGUUGGAGAGAGAUUGAAUUUUAUGAGAUGUGUUAUUGCACUUUCAAUUCUCAUUAGUAUCCUAAUUGAUGUUGCUAUUAGAGACCUUCUGAUUUUAAGAAAUUCUUUGGUUGAAAUUCUGAUUUUAGGAUGCUAUCGUUACUUCCUAACUUGGUGCCAUCUAGGCUUCCAUCUUGUUUAGAACGUAAAAACUUCUAUUGAAAUUUUGUAUGAUGUACUGUCAAAGAUAAAUGCACUGAUUAAUCUAUAAGAUAAGGCCCCCCUAUUUUUGUGAAAAAUGCAUUUGGAAGAACCUUUUUUGUACAAUAAAAUUGACACAAUCAGUUAUAAAAGAUAAUUUUGUAUGAAGAACCAAUUCUGGUUGUUACAUCAAAUGAUGUACUUACUAUCAAAGAUAAAUGCACUAAUUAAUCUAUAAGAUAAGGCCCCCCUUUUUGUUCUUUCAAAUUUUCAUGAUGCUCCCAAAAAAUAUUGAAUUCAUUAUGCAAAUUCAUACUAAGAAAAUGCUCGAAGCACAUCAUGUAGAAUGUUCAACAACACGAGAAAAAAUGUUGAAAAUAAAUUAUUGUUACCUGCAGUGUCCCAUAGUCCUAGGUUGACUGUGCUGCCAUCCACAACUACAUUUGCUCUGAAGUUGUCGAAAACUGUAGGAACAUAAUCCUGUAAUACGAAAUAAAAUAUAACUAUCAUGAUGCUCCCAAAAAAAUUCAUGAAGCCUAAAUACUUUUAGAGCAAAAUUAUUCUCCUAAAAGACUUUAAUAAUUGCAAUUAUGUAAAUUUUAAUUAUUGAACACAAUUAAUUAUGGUAUUGAAGAAAAUUGAUUUUCUCAUGCACUUGUUGACACUUAUUGUGCGCCCUUAUAAAACAGUUGAAGUUCGAAUAACCAAAAAAAUCUUCAGAUUUCUAUCAUUUUUAUGGCUUGUGGGCGGGGAACAAUGAAGAUAGUCAGGAUAUGCAUCUUGAACAAUAUAGCUUACAGUCGAUAAUGGAAAAUAAGAAUUUUCAUUUUCACCGUGUUAUAAUAUUUGAUGGAUAUUCAUCAAAUUCUAGCUGUAGUAGAGGAAUAUUUGGUCAAUGAGCUUCCAUACAUUUGUUUUUAUGUAUUGGCCACCGUUAACUAUUUUGUUUGGAAAGUAGUACUGAAGUGUUGAAUCACACAGCGCCGUUUUAAGGUGAUACUAUUUGGAAAGUAGUAGCUGUAUUAGAGGAAUAUUUGGUCAAUGAGCCAUCGUUAACUAUUUUGUUUGGGAAAUAAGUAUUGAAGUGUUGAACCACACAUCCGCUGUUUUAAUAGAUAGUGUUUCCUUUUGAUUUAAUGGAAAUUCUUAGAGAGUAAAAGCUGUUAGGUGCAAAAGAAUAGUUCAUAGGUUGUUUGGUUUUAAUUUGGUAUCAAAACAACAUAACCUAGUUCAACAAAACAGCAAAAGUUUUGUUGAGCUUCAAAGUUUUAUGUAUUUCAUCAAAACAACAUCAGAGAUCUAUGUUAACAUGUUAUAUCACUGUAUGAUAAAUAGGCUAACUUAUAGCAUAUCAAAAUUGAUCAUUCCUAAAAAAUAAGCUGAAAUGAGCUAUUUAGCAGUUGGGUAGAUGUGUACGUUGUGGUAAACCGACCGAACUAAAACCAAAUCUUUAAUUUGUACCAAAUGCUGAACUGCUAUCCAUAUUUCACAGUUUUGGCUUGGUACCGGUUUUUUGGUUUUACUGUACUCAACUGAACGUAACACUGAUUUUCUUUGAGUUCAUAUUCAAAGAAAACCCUCCUGAAAUAUGAUUGAAGGCAUGUUUUGCAUGUAUAUGUUCAUUCCUGGUAUUGCGAUAUGCCUUAUUAUUAGCUAGUUUUUGUUGUUUUCUUCUACCAAAGAAAAUGCGAGAUAUAAGUUUUUUUUUUUUAUUCAAUGGCAAUUUUACAUGUAAUCCUGAAUCUAAAUAGAGAAUAAUGGUGUAGGCUGGAAGGGCAAUCAAGACCAAGAUGAAAUUUUGGAAAUUUCCGAAGAGCAAUCAAGACCAAGAAUGGCAAUCGGUUUUCAGCAUUGCCAAAAUAUUUUUGGUAUAAUUUACAAGCUGUUCAGUUUGGUCAAUGAAAUAUAAUUAGUUGUCUCAUUUGCCAGAAAAUCCAGUUCUCCCGGAUCUUUAUGAAUUUACUGAACCAAACCAAAUAGUUUGGUUUUGGGUAUCAAGUGUCGCAAAAUGCAAAAUGAUAUUUUUGUUUUCUGAUUUUGGAUUUGCUGAAUGCACAGGCCUAUUGGCAGUGGAGAUUGGGCCUAGAUACUCUUUCAGAAAUCCAAGAAUUUGCUCGUAGUAAGGUACUGUCAAGCCCGCCCAAUAUAUUUUAUAUCUUGGCAAUCCGUAUAUUGCUGCCAGCUAAUAAUUGUUAAUGCUAAUACGUCAAUUGAGUUGGUGAGGUGGAUGGAUAAGGCAGAAUUUAUUGCGAACCGCUGCAUUGACUGCCGACCUUAUCACGGCAGAUUUUCUCACCAUUAUAUAACACGCAUUCUCCGUGCACCAAUUCAUUCCCAUAUCUCCAUUCCUCUGUUCCUCUUUCGGUUUUCUUCUCAUCAUUUUCUCUGAUUUAAGGCUUUUGCUUUAAUUUUUGGUUGAAAAUCAAAUGAGAUUUGUGUUUAUAUUUGUAAGUUUUUUAUUUUAUUUAGUUUUUGAAUGAUGCCUAAAUUUUUUUCUUGUUCUUCUCUAGUUGUAUUCAACAUUCAGUUUUACAUCUUCUAUCCAUGGAUUCAAGGCUUUUGAUUUAUUUUUGAUUCAAAAUCAGAGGACAUAUGUCUGCUUUGAGUUACGUAAUUUUUUUUUUUUUGAAUUUUUCGAAUUUCCAUUCCCCAUCGCCUAGUUGAUUAAUGUUUCCAUAUCUUUCCGUUCAGUUUUUAUUCAUUUCUACUUUGGAUUAUGAGAUCGUAUAUAUCUCAUCUCGAUCUGAAGAUUAGUUUUCUAGGACAAGUUUUUGUGUCAUAGUUAUGUUGCUUCUCUUUCUGAUGAUUUUUUUUCCUUGUAGAGUUAUCGAUGAAGAAAUAUCCUCUGCUGGAAAUAUGCAGAGGAACGAGCUCAAUUUUAAGGUAAAUUUAGAAUUUUUGUAUCUAUGCAAUUCUCUUGUAUUAACUUUCUCCUACUAAUUAAAAGAGUAAAUUUUCAAAUUCCAUUGCUACGUUUAUCUUUUCGAAACUAUUUAUCGUAGUUGAAUUAUUUUGAUUAAUACAUUCAUGUAUCGAAGAGGGGUCUGAUGUUGUAUUUGAAAAAAAUGUCUAGUCAUCAAUCACGAAAUGAUUUAGUAAAUAACCUUAUCUUUAAUAACUUAAUCGACAGAUCUUACAUCAGAUACCCAUUGGAAAUGGAAGGAAGCUAUUUAUUUUUCUUUUUAAGAGGAUUAUAUCAGUAUCUGUAGAUCUCUUCUAAUUCACUAGCAUACCAACUUUUUUCAUAAAUUAAAAUAUUCAAAAAUGAGGACAAUGAGUUCCUAUGUUAACAUGUUUGUCUUUGGGUAUGACAGAAGAAAAGAAGCGUAUCAAACAACUGUCAUCAGUGCCACAAUAAGGACAAAUAAAUUGUCUUCAGAUGCUAUCAGAAGAACAACUGCAUUCCCUGCAUCAAUAAAUGGUGAGGAGUUUUACUUAAACAUGGUUUACGUUUAUGUUUUUUUCCCUCAGUGUUCGAGCACAUUUAUUGACUAUAUCUCUGUUGUAAUUACAGGUACAGAGGACUGCAGGAGGCAGACUUUGCUGAAGCCUACGCAGGUUGUCGCAAAAUUUGCAGUUGUUCAGCUCGCUUACAUUCUGAUCAGGAUAAAGUUAGUAUCCAGUUAACUGGAUAUCGGAACUGCUAACAAAAGCAGAAUCCGUAGCUGAAGUUCCUGAACCUUCUGAAGGUACAUGCUCAUGCUCGGGAUACAAUCGAGGGAGUGAAUCGGGUAACUUCCAUUGUCCCACAGUUGAGGGCGUUGAAACAGCGGACCAAAAACAUUUCCAAUGGCACCUAUAUAAAGGUCAGCCUGUAAUAAUCCCCAACGUCCUCAACAGAACGACUGGGUUGAGCUGGGAACCAUUAGUCAUGUGGCGCGCCUCUCGCAAAAUUAAAAGCACUCAUGACUUGCGUAUUCUGGAAUUCAGCGUAACGAACUGCUUAAAUUUACUCUUGAAAGAAAAACGGAGAAUGUUUUCAACCGCAUAUGAAAGACUAUCUUUUAAAAGAGACUCGCUAACAAUAUAAACUCCAUUUGCAGAGUCGUAUUCGUCUUAGUGACAACAUGAAAGAAGGAAUUUUGUAUUUAUUUGAUUUUUCGUGCGAUGGAUUAUCUACUGACGAGUUGAUGUAUUUUACCUUGAUUUGUUUAUAAACUCCAUUGUAGUGUAUUAUUCGUCUUAGUGACAACAUGAAAGAAAUAAUUUGUAUUUAUAGUUUUUAAUUUUUUUUCUCGAAUGUAUUAUUAUCAACCGAUUAGUUGAUGUAUUUCACCUUGAUUUGUUGUUCGUCGGGUAAAAGGUACUUACCCUUGCCCGUAACACUUGCUCGCUUAUACUUCGAAAGUUGUCGUUUACGCCUCAACUAACAACUCAACCUAUUUGACUACCGAUGGUGUUAGUGGUGUAAAUAAAGUUGAAAAAAUCUAAUUCCGAUUUCGUUCAAAAAAAUUACAUCACAAAUAGGAAUAAUUUUUUUGUUCUUUUUUUUUGAAAUUGAUUUUUUUUGGAUGAAAGUCGGUGAAAUUCGGGAUUGAUAUAUAUUUUUUUUUCAUUUUGAGGAAGUAUGUUUUGGGUGAAGAAUUUGAGAAUGAAAGUAAGGUUUGUUUAUAUUUUGGAAGGAGAUAAAAUACAUUAUAGUGGUCAAAUCAUGUUUAAAUGUGUUAGAGAAAAAUAUUUUAGAAGAAAAAAAUUGAAAGAUGAAAUGAUGUUUAUCUAAAAAAGACAUAUUUUAAUAUAAUAGUCAUAUCAUGUCUGAAAAAGAGAAAAACUUUUGAAAUUGUUUUGAGAAAAUGAUUUGAAAAGUUUAAUAAAUACAAUUUUGUUUUGGGAAUAAUGAAAACAAAAUAAAAAUGCUUCCAAACAUUGCCGGACUUUAUGAUUUUCAGGAUGAAAUUGAUAAAUUAAAGUGAAAUUGGGGCUAAAUUAAAUAUAGAUAACAAAUGGGGAUUGAAAGGGUUAUUUUAUUAACACUGACUCAAAUUACAAUUUACACGACAGACCAAAACUGGAGAAAAAUGGUGAGGAAAAAUAAUAUAGGAUUAGUAUUUGGGUCAAAAGUAUAAUUAUACUAUAUUUGAUGGUCAUAAAAGAUAAAAUCAUAAAUUCAUAAUCAUCUUUUAGUUAUGCUGCUGUUGAUUCGUCGUUAGAAAAAUCAAUUGGAGGGGUUCAUUGUAUUUAUUUAACCUACGAUUCUAAUUUAGAUACAUACAUACACUUUUUGGCUAAUUAUUUUGAUCGGCUAGUCCAAAUGCCGCCGCCACCGUUCGCCGCCGUCGCCGCCGCCGCCACCGCCGACUUCACCAGAGGCACGCCUCCGUCCUAUUAUACUGUGAACAAUGCGGAGCUGGUGAUUUUUAGUUUUCCCGAUUGUGAUAAUUUAAGGUAAGAUAAUAUUGAGAUUCAAUUUUAUAUUUGAUAUUGAUACUCAUGAAUAAUUUUUUUGCACUAAUUAAUUUUAUAUUUGAUAUUGAUACUCAUGAAUAAUAUUGAUACUCAUGAAAUUCAGUAUUUGUCUGAUUGCAUCAUGAUCAUCUCCUUUUCGAUUUUCAAGUAGUGUAGUAAACAACCCUUGCUUAUUAUUGCUAUCUAAUUCUUUUCGACGUCCCCUCUGCUUUCUUGUGUAUCUGGAUCUGUUUUUUCAUUUCCAGAAACCUAAUUGACAUUUUCCAGACGCAUUCCGCAUUUUCCGAUGCAUGUCGUCCGAUGCAAAUAUCAAGUUUUUAUAUGUUAAUUUGCAUCAAUUCGCAAGUUGUUGAAACUCCAAUAACUGAAAUGGUCGGGAUAUGCAUUUUAUAGAAGAAGAUAUUCGUAAAAUGAUAGUUGUACUGUUGGCUUGAAAUGAGAAGAAAUGCUUUAUAUUCUUCUACGUAUGCAUACAUACAUAACACAUUCCUAUUAUUGUCAUGUGUCUUAUUAUUGGCUAGUUAAGUUCUUAAGUUCGUUUUUUGUUUAAUUCUUUGCAAUUUUAUUUGCUAUGCAGAAUCUAAAACUGAGAACAAUGGUGUUGACUAAGAGCGACCAAGACUGAGCUGAAAUGCCAAAAUACAAAGGAGCAAUCAAGACCAAUCAGUUUUUCAGCAUUACCAAAGUAAGUUCAGUACAAUUUACAAGCGGUUCGGUUUUGUUUAAUGAAAUGCCAAAGAAAAAAAUUCUUUAUUUUUUUUUCUCAUUUUUUCAGAAUAUUCAAUUCUACCCGAUCCAAACGAAUUUAAGGACCAAACCAUUUUUUUUGGUUUGGUAUUAAGUUUGGCAAAAUGCAAACUGAUAUUUCUGUUUUCUAAUGGACAGGCCUAUUAGCAGUGGAUAUUGGGCUUACGUACUCUUUCGAAAAUCCAAGAAUGGCUAAUGAAGAGUCCACUAAACAUAGUAAGGUACUGUCAAACCCUUCCAAUAUAUUUUGCAAAAUCGUAUACUUGCUAAAUUUGGUUAAUGCUAAUACGUUAAAUGAGCUGGCAUGUUGGUGGAUGGAUAAGGCCCAAUUUAUUGCGUAUCGCUGCAUUGACUGUCGGUCUUAUCACGGCUGAUUUUCUCACCACUAUAUAACACUCGUUUCCCUGCCCCCAUUCAUUCCCAUAUCGCCAUCUCUCUAUUUUCCUUUCAUUUUUCUACUUUUCUUUUCACCAUUUUCUCAGAUUUAAGGCUUUUUCUUUAUCUUUGGUUGAAAAUGAUGAGAUUUGUGUUGGAUAUUUUUUAGUUUUUAAUUUAGUUUUCGAUUGCGCUUUUUUUUUUUCUUCUUUCUUAUUCUUUGUUGGUCCCCACUUUAUCUCCUUAGCUGUAUUAGACAUUCAGUUUUCUAUCUUCAAACCAUCUUCUGGAUUGAAGGCUUUUGAUUUAUUUCUGGAUGAAAAUCAGAUGACACAUCUGAUUGGACAUAAUUAAUUUUAUCUUAUUUUAGUUUUUGACUUUUAUAUUUUCUGAUUAUGGUUGGUUUACUCAUCCAUUUCUUUCUGUUCAAUUUUCAUUAUUUCUCUGGAAAUUCUUGAAAACAUGGCAGCUCUUACUAUGGAUUUGGGUGAAAUCAUCUAUAUACCAUCUUGAUUUGAAAAUUAGUUUUUUUGAAUUCAAACUGCCUAAAGAGUCCUAUGUUCUGCAUAAUCGACCCCUUAGUAGUGAAUCUCAAUUUUUUUUUUUGCAAAAUUAGAUAAUUCAAAAGUGAGAACUAAGAGUUCCUAUGUUAUAUGUUAAUAUCUUCGUCUUUGGGUGUGAUAAACGAAAAUGAACUCAAACAAUUGUCCUCAGCGUCACAUGUGUGGUAAAGAUAUAGUUGUUAGAUACAUCAAAUGCAAUUUGAAGGAUUAUUACGUUCUCAGCAUCACUAAGUUGUGAAUAAGUUUGUUGUUGAAGAUACUUUUCGUUCCAGUGUUUCAUUUAUGUUAAGCUACUAAAAUUAUAUCUUUUGCAUCCGGAAAUUCUUUGACUGGAACCAAUCUUGUGACGUAGGCUUCCAAAUUGUCACAACCGAAGAAUUUCCAUGGCACAAAAGAUUUUAGUAGUGUCUAACAAUUGAGCAUUGAAGUAUAAAAUGUCUCCAACAACAAAAGUUCUCAACAUUUAAUAAUGCAUGAAACGGGAUAGUUCUUUUUAUUGCAUUUGGUGCAUCAUAAAACUAUGUCUUCAUCAUUCUUGUGGCAUUGAUGACAAUUGUUUGAGUCACUAUAUCAUAUUCGAAGACAAAAAUGUUAACAUAAAAAUCUGUAGUUCUCACCUUUGAAUAUCUUGUUUUGUGAAGAAGUUGGAGAGAGAAUAUCUUGUUUUUAUGAGACGUGUUAUUGCAGUUUCAGUUCUCAUUAGUACCCUAAUCGAUGUUGCUAUUAGAGACUUUCUGAUUUUAGUAAAUUCUUUGGUUGAAAUUCUGAUUUUAGGAUGCUAUUGUUACUUUCUAACUUAUUGCCAUCUAGGCUUCCAUCUUGUUUAGAACGUAAAAACUUCUGUUAAAAUUUUAGUUAGAAGCUUCUUUCAUUAUACUGACAACGCACUUGGAUAGAUGCAAGCAGAAAGCAUAUACAAUCACAUUCUUCCGUUGGUCUCUAGUUAUUGCAUCGAGAAGAAUUCAACUACAUAUAUCUGACUUUCAAAGUUAUUAGUGUUAGAAAAGUGUUUUUCAUAUUUCAAAUAUGACUGAGAAAUGCGUGUAUAUAUAUGAUGUGAAAUACUUACUGAGUCAGGAAAAAUUAGUGACUUCGCGUUUUCUGUUCUGACAAAAUAAUAUUUCUCCUGCACUAUAACGUUAAUCUGUUUCACUUCGAAGCAACACUAAAUUUAUAGCACCUCACACGUGUUAUCACAUAAAUAUUUCUGCACCAUUAAACAGUGAUGCAUCUAAAAAUCUUCACGAUUUGCUUAUUAUUGUAAAAAUAUCUUCUGUAUUGAGUAUUUAAGGAUGAAGGGCUUUUGCAGAGAGACCCGUGCGAUGUGGUAAUAUUUGUAAUUUUAAUGAUUGUUUAUGGUGUUACGCGGUCAAUAAAGUAUGUAUUAACCAAAGUGAUCUAGGGGUGUCUUAAGUUUGCAUUAUAGUGAAAAAUGCAUUUGGAAGAACCUUUUAAUGAUUAUUUACGGUGCUGUGUGAUCAAUAAAGUAUGUAUUAACCAAAGUGAUCUAAAGUGUGCAUUAUUAUGAAAAUUGCAUUUUGAGAACCUUUUUUGUACACAUACACACAAUAAAAUUGACACAAUACAGUUAUAAAGAUAUGCAAAUGCUAUGCGAACUUCACGAUGAUCAAUUGCUACCUAUAAAUGCUACUCAAAACAAUUAGAGUUUAUAGUGGAGAAAGAUAAUUUUGCAUGAAGCACCAAUUCUGGAUGUUUUGACACCGAAUGAUGUACUAUCAAAUUAAAUAUGUCCUCGUUUGGUUGUUACAGUGCGGUGACCAAGAUAAGAUUAUUUUAAUUUUAUUAGGGUUCAAUUGUAUAAAUGCACAAGUAAUCUAUAAGAUAAAGGCCCAUUUUUUUUUUUCAAUUUAUGUAGAUGCUCCCAAAAAUUAUUGAAUUAACUAAAUAUGAAAUAAGAUAUAAUUAAUCAUGAUCUAUCUUGUUAACCAACGAAGCCAAAAUAUUUUUGAGAGCGAAUUUUUUUUCUCCUGAGAGACUUUGAUAAUUGCUUGAUGUAAAUAUUCAUUAUUGAACAUAAUUAAUUAUGGUAUUGAAGAAAGUCGAUUUCCUCAAUUUGUGUUAUGUAUUUGUUGACACUUUUUAUGCGCCGUGGUAAUAAAAUAGUUGAAAUUCCAAUAACCAAAAAGUCUUAGAUUUCUAUCAUUUGUAUGACUUGUGCAUAAGGAACAAUGAAUAUGGUCAGGAUAUGCAUCUUGAACAAUAUAGCUUAUAGUCGAGAAUGGAAAAUAAGAACUUUCAUUUUCAGGAUAUUUUAUGUUAUAGUAUUUGGUGAUAGCUUUAUUAGAGGAAUAUUUGGUCAAUGAGCUUACAUUUGUUUUUAUGUAUUGGAUGGUUAACUAGUUUGUCCGGAAAUACGUAUUGAAGUGCUGAACCACACAGCGCUGUUUUAAGCCGCAGUGUACUUUAGUUGCAUAAUGCGCUUUCUAAAAAAUAAUUUCCUAGUUGGUAGAAGCAGCUCAUAUUACAUAAAACUUUUCUGAUUAGCUAACUUUAUUUUUCAGCUUCAAAAUUUCAUGAGAAAGAAAAAUGGGAAACUAACUCUUGGUACACUGGACAUCGUAGUUGCAUCUUUUUUUUUCAUCGCUUUUUCGGGUUAUAAAGAAUAAUUAAAAUAAUUUUAACAUAUAAGGAUUACUCACGAUUAAAUGAAAAUGCGUCAGUAGUAAAUCUAUAGGUGCAAAAGAAUUGCUCAUAAGUUGUUUGAUCUUAAUCUGGUAUCGGGGCUAUAAAAGUUAGGGUUGAGCUCCAAAGUUAUAUGCAUCUAAUUAAUCAAAACAACAUCAAAUAUCUAUAUUAACCUUUUAUUGCACUGUAUAACUUGGCACUUCUUUAGCUUAUUGAGCCGAAAUCAAGCUAAACUUGAUAAAUAGGCUAACUAAUAUGAUAUCAAAAUUGACCAUUCCUAGAAAAUUUAUGCUGAAAUGAUCUACUUAGCAGUUGGGUAGAUGUGUAUGUUUUGGUAAACCGACCGAACCAAAACCAAAGCUUUAGUUUGCACUGAAUACUGAACUGCUGUCCUGUUUGAUAUUCGUUUUCUAUAUUUCACAGUUUUGGUUCGAUACUGAUACUUUUGGUUUAAGUUUACGCAACUGAACUGUGCUUUUCUUUUUCUUUUUAUUUUAAUCAAUUUCUGGUCAAUCUCCUUCCUGGCUUCCGUUCUCAUUUUUUAGUUAUUUAUUUAUUUACUUAUUUUUAUUUAUUUUUAUUUUUUCUUCAAAGGAGGAGCCGUUCUCAUUUCAGAAAAUCCUUUUCUUGUACAUAUAUGAUUGAAGAAGAGAUUUUUUCCAUUGAUGCAUUCAUUCCUGGUAUUGUCAUAUGCCUUAUUAUUAGCUAGUUUUAGUUCUUUUCUUCCACCAAAGAAAAUGCAAGUUAAUAAGUUUAAAAGAUUCUUUUUUUUUUUUUAAUUCAUUUGGAAUUUUCAUGUAAGCCAUUUGGAAGAGCAAUCAAGAUCGAGAUGAAAUUUUUGAAAUUUCCAAAGAGCAAUCAAUACCAAGAAUGGCAAUCGGUUUUCAGCAUUACCAAAAUAUGUUUAGUAUAACUUCAUUUGUCUGCAAUUCAGUUCUCCCGGGAUCUUUACGAAUUUACCAAGCCAAACCAAUUUUUUUGGUUUUGGGUAUUAAGUGUUGCAAAAUGCAAAAUGAUAUUUCUGUUUUCUAAUUUUGGGUUUGCUGAAUGCACAGGCCUAUUAGCAUUAGCAGUGGAUAUUGGGCUUCGAUAAGAAAUCCAAGAAAUGGCUCGUAGAAGUUAAAAAACGUAGUAGGGUAAUGUCAAGCCCAUCCAAUAUAUUUUGUUUCCGUAUAUUGCUGCCAGCUAAGAAUUGUUAGUGCUGAUAUGGCAAGUGAGUUGGUGAGUUGGUGGAUGGAUAAGUCAGAAUUUAUUGCAAUUGACUGUCGACCGUAUCACGGCAGAUUUUCUCACCAUUAUAUAACACGCAUUCUCCGUGCACCAAUUCAUUCACCAUAUCUCCAUUUCUCUAUUCCUCUCAGUUUUCUUCUCAUCAUUUUUUCAGAAUUAAGGCUUUUGCUUUGUUUUUUGGUUGAAAAUCAGAUGAGAUUUGUGUUUAUAUUUGUAAGUUUUAAUUUGAUUUAGUUUUUGAACGAUGCCUAUAUCUUUUUCUUAUUCUUGUUACACCCGGUAACCCCCCCCCCCCCCCCCCCUGCAUUCAACCUUCAUUUUUCCAUCGUGUAAUCAUUUUCUCGGAUUCAAGGAUUUUGAUCUAUUUCUGGUUCAAAACCAAAGGACAUAUCUGAUUUGAUAUACAUCACUUCUUUUUUUUUUUGAAUUUUGUAAUUUUCGAUUUUUCAUUCCCGAUCGCCUAGUUUUUUCCGUCCAUUUCUUUUUGUCCAGUUUUCAUUAAAUUCUACUUUGGAUUAAUGAUAGAUCUCAUCUCGAUUUGAAGAUUAGUUUUCUAGGACAAGUUUUUGUGUCAUAGUUAUGUUGCUUCUCUUUCUGACGAUUUUUUUUCCUUGUAGAGUUAUUGAUGAAGAAAUAUCCUUUGCCGGUAAUAUGCAGAGGAACGAGCUCAAUUUUAAGGUAAAUUUUGUGAAAGUCAAUUAUGAUGGCAGAUCUGUUAGAAAUAAAGAAUGAUAAACAGAGAACGACAGGGAUCUGAUGUUGUUUUUGAAAAUAAUAUAUAGUCUUCAGUUACGAAAUGAUUUAGUAAAUAAACUUAUCUUAAUUAACUCAAUCAACAGAUCUUGCAUUAGAUACCUAUGUGAAAUGGAAGGAAGCUAUCUAUAUUUCUUUUUGAGAGGGUUAUAUCCGGAACUGUAGAUCUCUUAUAAUUUCACUCUCGUAAAGUAAGAUAUUCAAAAAGUGAGGACAAUGAGUUCCUAUGUUAACAUGUUUGUCUUUGGUUAUGACAGAGGAAAAGAAGCGACUCAAACAACUGUCAUCAAUGCCACAAUAAGGACAAAGAAAAUGUCCUACAGAUUCGGCGACGCGGUUUUCGUACCAGCUGGCUGCCCUCACCAAGCUAGAAACCUAAAGGUUUCAAUGUCUGACUCGUAUCCGACUUCGUGAACAACGACUUCAAUUGUUUUUCAGUCUAUAUAUUUUUUCGUUGUGAAUUUUGCAAUUAAUUUUUUUGUGUACGAUGUUCCAUCUUGCAGUGGUGCACAAGUAUGUCUAUCGACUUUGUUUCAGCAGAAUGUGUCGGUGAGUGCAUCCGCCUAUCAACGGAAUAUCGGUCGUCUCCCUCACAAUCAUAGUUCUAAGGAAGACAAAUUACAGGUAUGUAAAAUAAUAUGAUUGUCUUGUCAAUAACUAAAACCGGAGAUAUAUAUAUAAUGAAUAAAAAAUUGUCUGCUCGUAAGAAAAAUAAAGAUUGCGGACGACAUCUAACGGCUCGUAAUAAAACAGGUGAAGGGAUUGGUUCAGCGCGCUGUACUUGGACAAGAUUGAUGCGUAAGUCAUAUAUACAUAUGCUUGUUAAACAUAUGUCUUUGAUACGAUACGAUGUUAAUUCAUUUUAUUUUAUUCUUUACCAGUAUUACGUUAAGAAGUCCAUUUGCACGCACCCCCUUUUGAGCAUGGGAACGUACGCCAGAAUCCAGCUCAGCAAGGGGAGAAACCUAGUAUUUUGCAAAUGAGGAGGGAGUUGGAGCGGAUGAAAUCGGCUCUCGAAACGAAAGGCCGCCUUUUUCAACCGCAUAUGAAAGACUAUCUCUUAAAAGAGAUUACGCUCCUCACUAACAAAAUAAGCUUCAAUAUGCUCUUUCAGAUAUGGUACAUUUGCACCCUCUAUACACAUCGGAAAAUCCUGCGCUGACGAAAAGGAAUGUGUAGGCAGGUGAUUAAAUUUACUCUUGGAAAGAAAAACGGAGAAUGUUUUCAACCGCAUUUGAAAGACUCUCUUUUAAAAGAGAUUCCAUUUUUGCAGAGUCGUAUUCGUCUUAGUGACAACAUGAAAGAAGGAUUUUUUGUAUUUAUAUGUUUUUUCGUGCAAUCGAUUAUCUACUGAUGAGUUGAUGUACCUGUAUAUAUUUUUGGGUAAAAUAUACUUCUUUUUACCCCCGUGUAAUAAGCUCAAUCGAGAGUUGUAUUCGACUUAGUGACAACAUGAAAGAAGGAAUUUGUAUUUAUAUGUUUUUUUUUUGUCUAAUGAAUUAUUUACUUAUGAGUUGAUUUAUUUCAAUUUGAUUUGUUCAUUGUGAAAAUACUGUGUGUAUGUAUUUUUGGGCACUAUGGUUUAUGGAAUGGCAACGAAUAUAUGCAAGACGAAAAUUACUAAGUGCAAGACCUUACUUUAUGCAAGACUAAUAUAUAAAUAAAUUUACUAAGAUCAAGAUUGGAAAUUACAAAUAUAACCCCAAUAUUAAUUUAGAUAUUAUUAAUUCAAAUUAGGCUAAUUGCUAUUGCAAGACAAAAAAAAAAAAAAAAGGAAUAAAGAAAAGGAAAAAAGAGGGAACUCACUCCCCCAACAAAACCCCAACACUCAUAUUACACACUUUUUUCCACAAAAAAAUCUUCCAUAUUCUCCAAAACCCUCAUCACACAAAUCCCUCAAAUCUUACUAAAACUUGAAAAGAAGGACAUUAUGGAUACACAAGACAUAAAUAUGGAGGAUUUUAAGGUCGAAGAACACAAAAAGGUAAGAAAUAUUGUACUUUGUGAUCGUUUUUCUCGUUUUUCGCACCUCAUUUCACGUACAAAAAAUUCGACAUGUACAUGUCGAAAUAUGCUCCGAAUAUCGACACAUUAGUGUCGAAAAUUUCAACAUAAAUCGACACUCUUUUCUUGUCGAUUUUUAUUGAAUUUUUCAACACUGUGGUAUCGAUAUUCGGUGCAUAUUUCGACACUGGUGUGUCGAUUUUUCACUGUUACAAUUGUUUAACCAAAAAUCGACACCAAUAUGUCGAAAUAUUUCCAAAAAAUCGACAAGUACAGGUCGUUUUUUGUAAAAUCGCAACUCCUUCAACAAUAGUGCUAGAAUCGAACCCUAAAAUUAUCAACUAUGUUCUAAAAUGACUUGUAUUCAUUAUUCUAACAAUAAAAUCAUGUUUAUCACAUUUUAUUUCUCAAAAAAAAUUAACUCAAAAAGUAAUUUUCUUACUUUCUUUUCGUGAGACUGCUGUGGCGGGGUUGAGGCAACAACAGUUGCAGGUGGGGAGGUUCUAGUGGUUGUCGACUGCAACGGCGACGGGGCGACGGCGAAGGGCGGCAGCGAGUGCUGCAAUUGAUUUUUUUCCCUUCUUCCCUCCUCGUUUUUUAGUUCUCAUUUUUCAAUUUAUUUUUUCUUUCUUUUUUUAUUAAUUUUUGUUUUUUAAAUUAGUCUUGCAAAAGUAAAUUAAUAAAAGAAUUUUAUUUUUUUUGGUAUUUUACUAAGGCUAUUAUAGUCUUUUUAUACUUAGUUUGAUAAAAAAAAAAUUAAUUUGGUCUUGCUCUAAGUAAGUUUGUGAUUGCAAAUAGUCGCUGUCUUAUGGAAUAUUUACCCCUUUUAAUUUGAAAAUUGUCAUUUACCCCUCAACUAAUGAGUCAACCUAUUUGACUACUAAAAUAGUGAGGUGGUUUAAAUGAAAUGUAAUUUUAUCCUCAAAAUUUUACAUCAUUUUUUAUUAGGUUGAGGCUAUAUGCAAGACUAAUUUCACUUGUGCAAGAUCAAAUUAAAAUUUUCAAUAUAUAAAUACUAUAAUACCCUUAUUUGUUAAAAAAUAGAAAAUUUCAAAUGUGCAAUACCAAAAACUCAAAAACAAAAAAAACUCUAUCACAAAACCACAAAACCAACUCUCAUAAAUCUUUCUCCUUCCUCAUCUAUAAACCCACAAAACCUAAACAUUCAAAAUCAUCAAAACUCAACAAAUCUUACAAAGAUGGCAAGUAUGGAGUCAAUAGACAUCAAAAUAGAAGAAUCUACGGUAGAAUAAUCCAAGAAAUUAUGCAUUUAUGUGUUUUUUUUAGCUAGAAUAUCGUUUUUCCAAAAACAAUCCCGCGCAGACACAGUCGACGUGUACAUGUCGAAUUUUAUAGGCAAAAAUCGACAAUGAGAUGUCGAUUUUGUAGUACAAAAUCGACACCUUAGUGUCGAAAUUUAAUUGUUAGUAAAUUAGGCUAAAUAUACUAAAUUUCGACAUUAAGGUGUCGAAUUUAUGGACAUAUAUUCGACACCUUAAUGUCGAAAUUUAGUUGUUUCAUAUUUCGACAUGUACAUGUCAAAUUUUAUAGGUAAAAAUCGACAUUGAGAUGUUGAUUUUGGAGUACAAAAUCGACACCUUAGUGUCGAAAUUUAACUGUUAGCAAAUUAGUCCAAAAUUUACUAAAUUUCGACAUUAAGGUGUCGAAUUUAUGGACAUAUAUUCGACACCUCAAUGUCGAAAUUUAGUUGUUUCAUAUUUUAUUAUUAUUUGUUAUUUGGUCUUGCAUGAGCAAACAAAAACCAAUUUAAUUUAUGGGUAUAUUUGUCAUCUCAUCUUAAUAAAAUAGAAUAUUUUGGAAUCUUUCUUUAAUUUGGUCUUGCACAAGUGAAAUUAGUAUUGCAUAUAGCCGCAGCCUUUUUAUUAUUAUUGUCCUUCACACAUGAUACCUUAUUUUUAUAAUAGGAAAUUAAUUUUUAUACUGUGAAUAAAUUUAAAUAAAUGUUUUGGGUUAGUUUCAUUUUUUAAAUUGAUAAAAUUAUUUACUUUAAUUAUUAUUUUAAAAAAAAUAUUUUUAACAUUAAAAUUUAUAUAAUUAGUUAUAACUAGAAUUUAUGUAAUUUGUAAUUUGAAGUCCAAAUGUUUUUUUUUUUGUUGGAUUAAAUUUCAUUGAAUUAAUAUAAAGUGUAUAUUGUGUUGAUUUUUUUAUUCAUGAAAUCAAUUUAUAAAUAACAUUGAAAAAAAAUAUAUGAUUAAAGUAUUACCAUUAUCAUAAAGGCUAGUACCAAUCUCUUAAUUAGGAAUUAUUAUAACUAGCCUAUAUUAAAUCUCAUGUGGAGAAUAAUGUUAAAUGUUGUGCUAAAAUUUUAAAUAACGAAAAUAUUUCCGAUUUUAAGAGUGAGUUAAAUGGCAAUUCGAUUGGUACUUAUAAUAUAAGACCCGAUCCCAAAAGGAUAAAAAUAAUUUUAUGUAAAAUCAUUUGAUUGUUAUAGAAAAUAAAUGGCAGUGGUUUGGGUUGAUGCAGAUACAAUUAUUCGUCUGCUCUUAUUCUCGAAAACAGAAGUUGAAACUUUAUAAUUUGAAAUCAUUAUUCGAAUAAAGAUUAAAUUUAAUUAAAAUAAAGCCGCAAUUUUUCCCAGCCAUUUAUUUUUUUGUUAACCAGUAAAAACACAGUUCAAUUUUUGGAUUGAAAAAAUGAUUCGGAAUUUGUAAAUAUUUUUUGAAUUAAGGGGUUUAUACAUUUUUUAUUCGAGGUGAAUUGAAAAACAAAAAUAGUCUAGAUUAUACUAGAUCCUCUACCAUAGUCCAGUUUCGAACCCUUUAAAGCGUUCUUUGUGAGAUCACAUUUUACUUGUAACUUAUAUAGCACGGACAUGAAAAAGGUGAUACGGAAAAACUGACACGGGGAAAUGAUAUAUUCUAAAAAUGAAGAUAUGGGAACUCGGGGGAAAUGUGUGACUAUUAAAAUUAUAGGGGUAUAAUUAUAAAUAUAUAAACUUAUAUAAGUUUUUAUUUAUAUAUGAAUUAUUUUAUAUUUUUUCACACAAACAUAUUCAAAAUGAAUUGUACUAUCAAUCAUCGAUUUGAAAUUGAUCAUUAAAUCGUGUAAAUAAUUAGGGAAACAACAAAACUAUUUAAAUAUUUGCUAUUCAAACAUGUUUACAACUUUCAAAAAUUAUAAAUUGGCCAUAAUGUGUCUGGCAAGUGUUCUCGGGUAUUCGAAACGUUAAAAGUUAAAGUUUCCGUACUACAUAGCUGAUAACAUAUUAGUGAGAGGUUGGGGUUUAAACCAUUUAAAGGUUGUUUAUUAAUUAUUGAUGGACAACAAUAUUAAUUAUUAAAUAUAAUAAAAAUUGUGAGUAGACAUCACCACCAUAAGGCGAAGAGAAACGUUUUGGAUUCUUCAAUUUGAAAACAACAAUAAUAAAAGGAUUUAACUGCAACAAGUGUUAAUUAGAGGGGUUGAGGUGAUAUUAACUCUUAUUUCAAGGGGUUUAAACUAUAAUAAAUACAUACUUACAAAUUGAUCAAAUAAGCCCUUUUCCGAUGAUCAGUUUAAUCUCUCUCUCCUCACUAAACCCCGUACGUCAUGCCAACCGUCGCCGCCGUCACCCGCCGUUAUCCGUUCGCCGCCGUGGGAGGAGGAGACUGCGAAGGCGGCGAUGGAGCUGGUGAAGAGAAACACACAUGCCAACAACAGAGCUCUGAUUGUUGAUUUGCCGCGAGCCUUUAAAGGAUGGCUAUUUCCAGAUUGUAAGCCAUGAAAUUUACUGUUUGGGGCUAAUUACGGUUAAAAGUCCAUAAAUUAAUACAGCCGGGGCUUGCAAAAUACUGUUAAUUUAGCGAAAUAUUACAUUAUCGAAGCUUCUACUGUAUGUGGAAAUGUAAUUGCAUUACUGUUUGCCUUUCUUAUGAUACAAUUAUGUUAAUUGUAGUUAGAAACUAUGGAGAACAUCUGGCUGCUGUUAUAUUUAUAUAUACUUAAUUACUGUUUAACAUGAUUUUUGGGUAAUUGGUCGAAUAUGUUGGUGAGUAUUUUGGUGAUUAUUGUAUUUAUUUACUAUAAUUUGUUUUUUGGUUAUUGUGAUAAUAAUGCCCUAAAUGUGCCAACUGCUGCAAUUUCUGUUGUCGUACAUUAAUUUUUAUCUCCCCAGAAACUCCAUGGUCGUAGGUUAUAGAAAGGCGUGUUACGUUGUUUGACUUACAAUCUUGCAUGCGUGGCUAUCCUGCUUCUCUCUGUUGUAUUAGCUACUAUAGGAUUAGCAUCAAUUUUCUACUCCUUUACUAUAAGUUGUUUUGUAAAAAAAGUUCAAAUGUUUUUCGACCAACAACCUGAAAGAAUUCAAUGUGAAUUGAAUGAUACGUAUGGGUUAACAUCCUUCUUAUCACUGUUGAUUCUAUACACCUUCUGUGUUAUGUGCAUCUUUAAUACAUAUGUGAUCUUCCCACGUCUGUUUUUUAUUAUAUUUGUAACCAUGGAAACUCGAGGUUUGAAGUCAUUAUCAAAUUUCUGCUAAUUUUGCAACUGGUGAAGUUAAUCUAUGUCACAUAUUCUCUAUAGGAAAUUCCACGUCCAAAAAUUAUGACAUCUUAUUGGUAACUUGAUGGUUCGUACUAAUUUUACUUCUCAUUAUUUGAAGGAAUAUGGGGCAUUAUCGCGAGUUGGCGAGAGAUGUGUUUUCAGAAUCAGGUAAUAAUUUAAUUUGGAUGUUGAAGAGUAGCUUUAGUGCUCAUAAGCUGUUUGAUCUCAAUCUGGUAUAGAGACUACAAAAGUUUGGGUUGAGUUUCAAAGUUAUAUGCUUCUAAUCAAAACAACAUCAGAUAUCUAUAAAAUAACCUUUUAGCUUAUUGAGCAGAAAUCAAGCUAAACUUGAUAAAUAUCCUAUUGCUAAUAUGAUAUCAAAAUUGAACAUUCCUAGAAAAUUAAUCCGAAAAGGUAUACUUAGCAGUUGGGUAGAUGUCUACGGUUUCGUAAACCGACCGAACCAAAACCAAAGCUUUAAUUUGUACCGAAUAUUGAACUGCUAUUAUCCUGUUUGAUAUUCGCUUUCCGUAUUUCACAGUUUUGGUUCGGUACUGAUACUUUUGGUUUAAGUUUACGCAACUGAACUGUGCUUUUAGAAAAUCCUUCUUUGUACAUAUAUGAUUGAAGAAGAGAUUUUUCCAUGUAUACAAUCAUUCCUGGUAUUGUCAUAUGUCUUCUUAUUAGCUAGUUUUUGUUCUUUUCUUCCAUCAUAGAAAAUGCGAGUUAAUAAGUUUAAAAGUUUUUUUUUUUUGUUUAAUUCAUUUGCAAUUUUACAUGUAACCCAGAAUUUAAAUAGAGAAUAAUGGUGUAGGCUGGAAGAGCAAUCAAGACCAAGAUGAAAUUUUGGAAAUUUCCAAAGAGCAAUCAAUACCAAGAAUGGCAGUCGGUUUUCAGUAUUGCCAAAAAAUAUUUGGUAUAGUUUACAUGCUACUCAGUUUGGUUGAUGAAAUAUAAUUAGUUGUCUCAUUUAUCAGAAAAUUCACUUAUCCCGGGAUCUUUACGAAUUUACCGAACCACACCAAAUUGUUUGGUUUUGGGUAUUAAGUGUCGUAAAAUGCAAAAUGAUAUUUCUGUUUUCUAAUUUUCGGUUUGCUGAAUGCACAGGCCUUUUGGCUGUGGAUAUUGGGCUUAGAUACUCUUUCAGAAAUCCAAGAAAUGGAUCGUAGAAGUUCAAAACCGUAGUAAAGGUACUGUCAAGCCCAUCCAAUACAUUUUGUUUCCGUACAUUGCUGCCAGCUAAGAAUUAUUAAUGCUAAUACGUCAAAUGAGUUGGCGAGUUGGUGGAUGGAUAAGUCAGAAUUUAUUGCAAUUGACUGUCGACCGUAUCACGGCAGAUUUUCUCACCAUUAUAUAACACGCAUUCUCCGUGCACCAAUUCAUUCACCAUAUCUCCAUGUCUCUCUGCUUUCAGUUUUCUUCCCAUCAUUUUCUCUGAUUUAAGGCUUUUGCUUUAUUUUUGGUUGAAAAUCGGAUGAGAUUUGUGUUAAUAUUUGUAAGUUUUAGUUUGAUUUAGUUUUAGAAUGAUGCCUAUAUCUUUUUCUUAUUCUUGUUACACCCCCCCCCCCCCCCCCACCAAGCUGCAUUCUACCUUCAUUUUUCCAUCGUGUAAUCAUUUUCUCGGAUUCAAGGAUUUUGAUCUAUUUCUGGUUCAAAAACAAAGGACGUAUCUGAUUUGACAUACAUCAUUUUUUUUUUGAAUUUUGUAAUUUUCGAUUUUUCAUUCCCGGUCGCCUAGUUGUUUCUGUCCAUUUCUUUUUGUCUACUUUUCAUUCAAUUCUACCUUGGAUUAAUGAUAGAUCUCAUCUCGAUUUGAAGAUUAGUUUUCUAGGACAAGUUUUUGUGUCAUAGUUACGUUGCUUCUCUUUCUGAUGAUUUUUUUCCCUUGUAGAGUUAUCCAUGAAGAAAUAUCCUCUGCUGGAAAUAUGCAGAGGAACGAGCUCAAUUUUAAGGUAAAUUUCAUGAAGUCAAUUAUGACAGAUCUCUUAGAAUCAAAGAAUGAUAAACAGAGAACAACAGGGAUCUGUUGUUGUUUUUCAAAAAGAAAAUAUAUAGAAAUGAUUUAGUAAAUAAACUUAUCUUAAUUAACUUAAUCAACAGAUCUUACAUUAGAUACCCAUGUGAAAUGGAAGGAAGCUAUCUAUAUUUCUUUUUGAGAGGGUUAUAUCCGGAACUGUAGAUCUCUUAUAAUUUCACUCUCGUAAAGUAAGAUAUUCAAAAACUGAGGACAAUGAGUUCUUAUGUUAACAUGCUUGUCUUUGGGUAUGACAAAGGAAAAGAAGCGACUCAAACAACUGUCAUCACUGCCACAAUAAGGACAAAGAAAAUUUCCUACAGAUUCGGCGACGCAGUUUUCGUACCUGCUGGCUGCCCUCACCAAGCUAGAAAUCUAAAGGUUUGAAUGUCUGGCUCGUAUACAACUUCGUGAACAACUUCAAUUGUUUUUCAGUCGAAUAUACAUUUUAUUCGCUGCGAAUUUCGUAAUUAAUAUUUGUGUACGAUGUUCCAUCUUGCAGUCGUGCACAAGUAUGUCUAUCGACUUUGUUUCAGCAGAAAGUGUCGGUGAGUGCAUCCGCCUGUCAAUGGAAUAUCGGUCGACUCCCUCACAAUCAUAGUUCUAAGGAAGACAAAUUGCAGGUAUGUAAAAUAAUAUGAUUGUCUUGUCAAUAACUAAAAUCGGAGAUAUAUAUAAUGAAUAAAAAUUUGUCUGCUUGUAAGAAAAAUAAAGAUUGCGGACGACAUCUAACGGCUCGUAAUAAAACAGGUGAAGGGAUUGGUUCUCAGCGCUGUACUUGGACAAGAUUGAUGCGUAAGUCAUAUAUGCUUGUUAAACAUAUGUCUUUGAUACGAUACGAUGUUAAUUCAUUUUAUUUUAUUCUUUACCAGUACUACGUUAAGAAGUCCAUUUGCACCGUACGCCAGAAUCCAGCUCAGCAAGGGGAGAAACCUAGUGUUUCACAAAUGAGGAGGGAGUUGGAGCGGAUGAAAUCGGCUCUCGAAACGAAAGGCCACCUUUUUCAACCCCAUAUGAAAGACUAUCUCUUAAAAGAGAUUCAGCGCCUCAUUGACAAAAUAAGCUUCAGUAUGCUCUUUCAGAUAUGGUACAUUUGCACCCUCUAUACGCAUCGGAAUGUACAUCGGAACCCUGCGCUGACGAAAAGGAAUGUGUUGGCAGGUGAUUAAAUUUACUCUUGAAAGAAAAAACGGAGAAUGUUUUCAACCGCAUAUGAAAGACUAUCUUUUAAAAGAGACUCGCUAACAAAAUAAACUCCAUUUGCAGAGUCGUAUUCGUCUUAGUGACAACAUGAAAGAAGGAAUUUUUGUAUUUAUAUGUUUUUUUUUAUAAUGAAUUAUUUACUGAUGAGUUGAUUUAUUUCAAUUUGAUUAGUUUAAUCUCUCCUCACUAAAUUCCCAUAUGUGGAAGUGCAAUACCCAUGCCAACCGUCGCCGCCGUCACCCGCCAUUAUCCUCCGCCGCCGUGGGAGGAGGAGACUGCGAAGGCGGCGAUGGAGCUGGUGAAGAAAGAAACACACAUGCCAACAACAGAGCUCUGAUUGUUGAUUUGCUGCGGGCCUUUAAAGGAUGGCUAUUUCCAGAUUGUAAGCCAUGAAAUUUUACUGUUUGGGCUAAUUACGGUUAAACCUCUAUAAAUUAAUACAGUCGGGGCUUGCAAAAUACUGCUAAUUUAGCGAACUAUUAAAUUUAUCGAAGUAGUAAUUUUAAUAUGUUUUUACCGGGUCGGACCGUGAGAAAUUAUUAUUUAAGCGAGGUUAUUAAUUUAUCGAGGUUCUACUGUGUGUUGAAAUGUUAUUGCAUUACUGUUUGCCUUUCUUAUGAUACCAAUAUGUUAAUUGCAGCUAGAAACUAUGGACAACCUCAUGUUGCUGCUGUUAUAUUUAUAUAUACUUCAUUACUUUUUAACAUUUGGUCGAAUGUGUUGGUGAGUAUUUGUUGAUUAUUGUUUUUAGUUACUAUAAUUUUUUUUUGGUUAUUGUGAUAAUAAUGCCCUAAAUGUGCCAACAGCUGCAAUUUCUAUUGCCGUAUAUUAAUUUUUAUGUCCACAGAAACUCCAUGGUCGUAGGUUAUAGAAAGGCGUGUUACAUUGUUUGACUUACAAUCUUGCAUGCGUGGCUAUCCUGCUUCUCUCUGUUGUAUUAGCUGCUAUAGGAUUAGCAUCAAUUGUUGUUUCUCCUUUACUAUACGUUGUUUUGUUAAAAAAAAUCAAAUGUUUUUCGACCAAAAAACCGAAAGAAUUCAAUGUGAAUUGAAAGUACGUAUGGGUUAACGUCCUUCUUAUCACUGUUGAUUCUAUACACCUUCUGUGUUAUGCGCAUCUUCCCACGUCUGUAUUUUAUUAUAUUUGUAACCAUGGAAACUCGAGGCUUGAAAUCAUUAUCAAAUUUCUGCUAAUUUUGCAACUGGUGAAGUUAAUCUAUGACACAUAUUCUCUAUAGGAAACUCCUCGUCCAAAAAUUAUGACAUCUUAUUGGUAACUUGAUGGUCCCAACUAAUUUUACUUCUCCUUAUUUGAAGGAAUAUGGGGCAUGAUCGAGAGGUGGCGAGAGAUGUAUUUUCAGAAUCAGGUAAUAAUUUAAUUUGGAUGUUGAAGAGUAGCCUUAGUGCUCUUUUAAGUGUCAAAUAAUCGGAAAGUGCUUCAUCUGAUAACAUUUAUAUGAAAAACCAAAUGUCGCAGAUAUGAAUGCGUGACUUAGUUAUUCAAGACUAAAGUAUAUGUUAAUAAAGCUAUUAGUUACUAUAUGUCUUCAGUUAAUUUGUUCAAGUAUUGAUCAAAUAUAUUAUACACAAUUGCAAGUGAUAUUACUCUUCGAUAUGUUCAAACAUCUCAAAAGAACUUUGGUUUUAGGAAAAGAAAUCCUGCCUGAUAUUUGGAAGGUAAAACAAUCGGGAAUGAGGUUUUUAGCAUCACACCUUGAGUUUUUGCUUUUUUCAUACCUAGGUAAACUAAAUUAAUGGCUCAAGGAAGUUCACAAUAGACUGUGUGGUACAUUUCAUAUCUCGCCAAAUGUCAUUUUGCUGACAGCUAUGGUUGGUGUAACUGCUAAUAUGUAAAGUUAGCUGGCAUCGUCACUGGAUAUGAAGCAAUUUAUUAGGGGUCGAUACAAUCAAUGCUGACCUUAUCGAUUUACUGGCGGAGUUUCCCACAAAUAAAUUUUACCCUCCCCUCCCUCCCUACUCCCAUUCUUCUAUCUCGCCCAUUCUCUCCACCUCUGUAUCCCUUGUUCAAUUUUCCAUCUUCGUCUCCUCAUUUUCUCAAAUUAAAAGCUUCUGUUUUGUUUGUGGUUCAGAAUCAGAAGAGUUUGUUAUCUGAUUUAGGUGAUUUUAUAUUACCUUUUCUUGUUUUUCCCUUUUUUUUUUUCUUAAACUAGAUGAACUGAGUUUGCUAUCUAAUUUCCACCACUUUCAUGUUACAUUUCAUGACACGAUAUGUUCUAUUUUAGAUUAAAAAAGAACAUGUGUUUGUCAUAUUGAUUUUGAAGAUUAUAUUGUAUGAUUAGUUUUCUUACUCCUCCUUGGUGAUUAUUUUAUCGUUUAUGUUGUAGAAACUAACAAUUUUGAAAAAAACAUUCUUCUAUAAAUAAGGUUGGUUUAAUCACUGCAUGUAUUCUUACUUAUAAUUAAAACUUAAAAUAAUAGAUGUAUAAUUAGAGUGGUGCAAUCCUUAUGAAGAAACCAAUAACCACUAUUAUAUAAUUUAUAUUUUUUUUCCUUACAUGAUUAUGAGCCAUUUGAUGAAGUUAUUAAACUUGUACUCAUAUGUUCUUGAAUAUAAUCCUUUAUGCUCUAUUGUAAUCAUGUAUUCAAAUCAAAGUAUAUCAUUAAUGGUUUAAAAUUGUUGUUAUUCUCUGUUAGUCUUUAGGUUACAACAUUUUCAUGCCUUGAAAUAGGUUUCAUAACCUGUAUCUCCCACUUUUUUUUUGUUGGUAGAAUUUAGAGGACAAAAAUACAUUAGUCGGCAUAGGUUAUGUGAACAUAUUAAAAAUUUAAUUAUAAUGGUUGAAAUAUUUAUUAAUAGAUUCUGGUGCACCAAUUUUAUUGUCAGUGUGCAUAAGUAGUAAGUAGCAAUAAUUUAAAACAAAUAUUUUUCUUAAAAUGUCCUUAAGGAAUCCUAAUUUGAGAUUUUUUUUUCUGGGGCCCUCCUUUUUACAGGCAUGGUAAGUAAAAACGUUUUUGGUUAGUGAGAAGGAAAAUGAUUUAUAUAUUUAUAUGAAUCAGCAUAAGAUUGCAAUAGUCAGUAUUAUAUUGCAGUAAUAUGUAUAAGUUUGCAAUAGUCAACAUUAUAUUGCAGUGAGCAGUAUCGGAUUACAGUAAUCAACACAAUUUUCCUUUUUUGCUGGUAAGACCUCCUUAUUUCAUUUUCCCUGGAACAAUUAUGCAUACAUUUUGCCAUUGCAGUUAAGAGAACAAUUGAAAACCAAGAUUUAUCAAGGCAAUUAAUUUUCGGGGAGUUAAAAUGAUGCCGUCGAGAAGUACAAAUGGAGAAACAUCUUCUGCUGGAAAUAUGCAAAUGAACAGACACAACUUAAAGGUAAAUUAAUAAUGUUAAUUGUAGAAUUAAAUUGCUAUAAGAUUUGAUAUAAGCAUAUAGGUUGCAGAAUUCGGUUAUCCGUGCAAUUGUCUUGUAUCAAAUACUUUUUAGAAGUAAAAAAAUCAAAUUCCAUUUUGUGUUUGUCUUUUCAAUGAGACCCCAUGUGUAAAUACCAAAUUAGAAAAACCUUUCUUUCAGACUAUUUAUAGUGAAAUUACUUUGACUAAAUACAUUUAUAUAUACAGCAGGGGGACCGGUAAGUGUGGAUUCUUCGAUUUUGUGAUGUUGGUCUUGAAUUAUUUAGUAUUCAAUCAUGAAGUGUUUAAUUUAAAAAAUGUAUCUUUGUAAUUUUAAUCGAUAGAUCUAACAUUAGAUAUGUGUGUGUGUGUGUGUGUGCGCGCGCGCUCAUGUGUGUGUGUAUACGCAAUUUUAGAGUAAAUGCAUACAAAUUUUGGAUGAUCUGUCAUAAUUUCAUAAUAUUCGAAGGCGUUUAAAUGUUGUUCUGAAAUAACUUGAUUACGGCAGAAAACGAUGACAUGUCACAACAAUUAAAGUUAAGACCCUAAAGAAGAUUAAAUCCAAAACUGCGGAUCUCAUCUAAUUCAUUCCAUUGCCAACUUUUCAUAAAGUACUAUAUAAAAAAUCGAGGAUAUACUCUAUGUUAAUAUGUUUUUCUUUGGAUGUGGCAGAGGAAAAGCAUCGACUCGACCAAUUGCCAUCAAUGUCAUAGAAAUGACAAAGAAAAAGUUGUACGAUGCACCAAGUGCAAGCAUAGGGGUUAUUGUAUUCUCUGUAUCAAUAAAUGGUGAGAAAUUUUGUUGCUUGAUAUAUUUUUUGUUGCUCUUAUGUUGGUACUUGGUAUAUCUUACAUGGUGGCUUAUAUUUUGUAAUAUGGAUAAAUGUCAUUUAAGUCAUACUGAUUAAUUUUGAGUUUUACCGCCACAAAGCAGGAUGGUAUAUUUAUUAUCUUCUCUUUGGAAUAUACCUACUACCCAUUUAGUCAUUUAUGAAUGAAUUUUUGCUUAAACAUGUUUCAAAGUAAGGGCUUCCCUUGGUUCUACACUUACAUUAUUCCUGCAUUUUCUUCAAUAUAUAUAUAUAUAUAUAUAUAUAUAUAUAUAUAUAUAUAUAUAUAUAUAUAUAUAUAUAUAUAUAUAUAUAUUUUAUCGUCGAUAUACUAUAUCUCUGUGGUACACACAGAUACAGAGGCUGCAAGAGGCAGACUUUGCUGAAGCAUGCGCAGGCUGUCGCAAAUUGGCAACUGUACAGCUGGCAUACAUUCUGAUCUGGAGAAUAAAGUUAGUAUUAAGGUUCUUCUCUUGAUUUUAUAUUAAUAUAGGAUUAUAUGUUUUCUAAUUAAGUCUCUUGUUCUUGCAUGUUAGGAUUUGUUCAAACCAGACUUGCAGCUCGACAUCAACAAAAAGGUCCAGUACUCAAAGUAUAUUAUUAGAGUACUUCUUCCUUCGUUUAGGAAGUUUGUUGUUGAGCAGAACAUAGAAAGAGAAGAAGAGGCAAGAAUUCAAGGUAACUUUAACUUUUGUUAGGAGGUUUUGCUUAGAAAAUUAUUUUGAUAUCUCUUAUCUUCUUGUUACUGAUAUGGAUUUUGAUGCCUCCAAACGAAACCGAAGUGUCUUAAAAUGGUAUUUAAUGGCACUAUGCAUCAUUGAAGUUUCAGGAUGAUUUUUUCUAAUAAUAUUAAUUUAUGCCGUGUAGAAGUGUUGAACAUAUUUAAUGUUUAUCGUACACUACUUGUUUCCUGAAGAUCUAUGAGUUUAAAAGUGAGAUUCUUAUUUUAGGCGUGCCUUUGUUUGUGUUACUAAACACCCUGGAAAACAGCACAAAAAUCUAAAUCUAAUUUUCUUGUCUGUAUCAAUUCUACUACGACGAUCCAUCACCACUGCCUCGACCAUUAUCCCGCCAAAAAUGUAUAUUCACUGUUUAUUCGAAAGAUAGAAUAAAUAUGAAAAAUAUUUUAUAUGUUAAUAGUUUCCGUUAAUUGUAUGUGCUACUCCAUUUCAGUGAUUUAUGAUUUUGAGGUAUUAGUGAGACGUACCUGGAGAUAAACACUAUUGAUAGAACUCUUAAUUUUCCCUAGCAGAUGUAGUUUCGUUGUUUGAUUAAUUAUAAUAUAUAUAUUUUGGUUGGGCAGGUGUUUCAGUUGCGGGACUACAGCUUCCGAAAGCCAACUUUAUCCACGACGAUAAAGUCAAAUGGUGGAUACUUUUAACCUAUGCCCUUUUCCUGAUAAAUGUUUGCUCCAGUAUGGAAAAUGUUGAUAAUUAUAACUUGUGCUGUGCAGUGACAACUGUAAGACUGCAAUAUUCGAUAUCCACAGAAGUUGUCUAAACUGCAUGUACAAGCUCUGCGUAACUUGUUGCCGAGAGAUAAGGAAUGGCUUCCAAUGGGGAAAUGAUAAAUAUCACGUUCAUCAUGGGGGUCGUACUUUUACAAGCAAUGAUAGAUUUUCUGCAGCAGCCUGUUGCUCUAUGGACCACACGAGUUUUACUUCUGAAUGGAAGCUGAUAGACAGAAGUACCAUAGUUUGUCCACCUGAAAUUAUGGGGGGAUGUGCUCAUGGGAAUCUGGUGUUAAAGUCCACAUAUCCAGAUAACUGGGUAUCGGAACUGCUAAUUAAAGCAGAGUCCAUAGAUCUCGAGGUGGGUGAAGUUUCCGAAGAAGCAUGCUCAUGUUCAGGGACUGCAGUCCGUAAUAUCCGCUGUCCCAAAGUUGUGGGCGUUGACCAAAAGCACUUCCAACGGCACCUAUAUAAAGGUGAGCCUGUGAUAGUUCCUGACGUGCUCAGCAGAACGACUGGGUUGAGUUGGGAGCCAUUAGUCAUGUGGCGUGGUUGCCGCAAAUCCAGAAGGACUAAUGACGCUCGCAUUCUGGAAUUCAGCGUAACAAAUUGUGUAAAUUGGUGCAAGGUAUGCCGACUUCUCUAUUAUGUUUUACUCUAUCAAUCAAAAAGUUUUAAUUUGUAAUUUGUGAUUGGACUUCGCUUAUUUUACAUCCUUUUAAUCGUAUACCUCUUUUUUUUUUUUUUUGUUUUUCACAGUCAUGGUCUUAUUUCUUGUAACUGUUUCUAGGUUGUAUUCUUUAUGUUCUUGAGCAUUCACUUGCUGCAUAUGUAAUCUUUCAAAAGAAGGACUAAGUAACAAAAAUACUAAUCUCUUAUCGUCCUUAGUUUCGGUGCAAAUUUCUCUUCAUAUUGUAUCAACCUUCAAAAUGUCAAAACUUUGGUUGGGUUAAUAAGUGUCUAACACGAAUUUGGAUAGGAUAAAGCAAAGAUCUGACAAUUCGUCGUACUCGACAUGUUUCUUAAAAUAGAGAUGUUUUGAUAGAUUUGUUCUUGAUGUUUGUUUUCCUAUUUAAUUGAAAUGAGACCGAUAUAUACGUCGCCUUUACCCUUUUUAUUCGCUAUGUUAAGUGUCACUUCUUAUGUAGGUUUUAGUCUGUCAGUUCCUAUGCAUUAUGCACGUGUACUUUUGUUUUCAUUAGCUUAAAGAUGUGGUGUUGUAAUGAUUUGAUUUUCGGGCUAUGACACGCAGGAAACUAUAAACAUGCACCAAUUUUUCAAUGGGUAUUCUGAAGGCCUCUUGGACAGUGAAGGCCGGCCCAAAAUUUUGAAGUUGGAGGAUUGGCCUCCAACUGAAUCCUUUCAAGAACGGCUGCCUCGGCAUUUUGUAGAGUUCAUUAGAUGCUUGCCGUUCAAGCUAUACACACAUGAAGCUGGCUACCUCAACAUGCCAGCGAAAACGCCGAAGAAGUCGUUGAAGCCGGAUUUGGGUCAAAAAAUAUGCUUUGCUUAUGGAGUCAAUGAGGACCUUGGCUUCUGUUCUGCAACCAAGCUUCAGUAUGCUGUUUCAGAUAUGGUACAUUUUUUUCUGUUAUUAUCUUUCUUUAUUAACUUGAAUAUUUAUGAGAAUAUAUGAACUGCUUUAAAUCAUUUCCAAUUAGUCUGCCUAUUGCAUCGAUAGAAGCAGUACAUCUCCGAAAGAUUAUUCUUAUGAAGUCGUGGGUAUUUCUAUCUAUUCAACGCAGUCCUAGUUCUUCUUUCUUGCAUGUAAUAUGUUAAUCUUAAUUGUUGACUCAUUAUACGCAAGAUAGAAUGAUGUUGAAUAUGCUUUAAACUUGAGUUUCAAUUAGGAAUAAUAGUCAUGAAAAAAUUUGGAAUAAUGUAGAGGCAUAAAAGUUCGAUCACAAACUAUUUCUUGAAGAAGAGAAAUGGAUUUGCUGUGAGCCUCCAUGGUUCUUGAAAUAUGACAUAGUCAUAUAAUUGAGCAAUAUGGUUAGCCUCUUCAUGAUGGAGUUAACUUUUGAUUCCAAUUUACUAUGAAACUUUCAAUAGGAUAAAAUAUAUUAAUUAUGUAGAUUUACUUCUCUUUUUGCCUUACUUUAUUUUUGCCUUAUUUUAUUGGGAAAAUUUUGGGCUAUAAUAAGAUUAUGUAACUUCAAAUCUUUUGUGGAUUGAGACACAAGGGUUGCCCAUUGUGUCAACAUCACUAGCGACUAGUGAUGUACCUAGUCUAUCGAUUAUCGUUAAUGCACGACUUGUUUCGAUACCGAUGGGGACCUAUAGAUACAAUAUUAGGCUCGGAACACAUUUAGAUUGUCAUACAAUUUGUGUGAUCUACGGGUUGAGGAAAAGAAUCGGGAAUGGUCAAAGUGGUUGCAAAGUAGGUGAUACGAGCCUCGUAAGAGUUGCUAGAGACCCUGUAGCAAGAACGAAACAUCCAAAAGGAAGGAUUCAAGUUGGAUUAACAUGGAAUAUGGACCCUAUGAAGAACUAGAAAUCAAUAUUCUUAGGAUGGAAUAUUGACCCAUGGUUAUAUCAAACCAAAAACAAUUAUUAUACGGCAAAGAAAAUUACAAGAAACAACUUGUAAAUUCCUGAAGGUUGUUGUAGAACAUCGAUGGAUAAUUGAUCUUGAAGAACUCAAAAUAAUUCAUUAAACUUUGUGUACGAAAGUUGUGUAUACAACCUAUUUAUAAGUGCUUCAAAGACUCAUUUCUCACAAAAAAAUAGAGUUCCUACCUUUACUAUAAUAAGAAAACUAACAAUUAAGCUAAUUCUAACCAUAAACGAAUUCUACAUGUCACUUUUCUUGAAACUUAUCGACUAUACGCCAUUUUUCUUAAUUGGUGGAGAUUUGGGUAUGCACGUGCAACAACUUUGAGCCCAAUUUUGUCCAUCUUGCAUUCCGUCUUACUAAAGCAUGAAACUUCAAGAUCUUUUGUUGGCUUUUCGUAACAUUUUGAAUUAUGGCAAUCCAAUAUCGGACGUGAGAGUUAUGAUCCGAAUUGAAAAUUUGCGAGAGACAUCUGAGAUUUUGGACGCAUGACAAUUGGUUGGUACGACGAAUUCCUUUCUUUAUUGCCUUCGAAUUCCUCAUCAUGGGGACCUCGGAGUAUUGAUUCAAGUUUAUAUUCUUCACCGCCAACUCCCACAAGAUCACGCAUUCUCUCUUCUUCCAAUUCUUCCAAAUCUUCAUCUUCAAGCUAUCAGGAUCGUAUCAAAAGGAGAAUCUUCAGAAGGAGAAGGAGAAGGAAAAGCUUUAGAGAGAGAAGAAUUGUUGGCGUCUUAUAUACCUAGAACUCAUAAGUAUUAAAUGAGGAUGUGGAAUCACCUCAUGUAAUCCCAAGGAAGGUCAAAGCUCUUUAAAUGUGAAAAAUUGUUUCCAUAUUAAUAAUGCAUAACGAUGAAAUUCUUCUCCCCGAGUUGAUAUUACGAUGAUUGAACUUAUUAACUUCUAAUACUAUUCUAAUACAUAAAAAUUAACUUCUUAAGAAAGUGAUCUUAAAUUAUAGGAAUUUUGAGUUUCUAAAAUACCGUUAAGACCGUACUAAAUAGAAAAUACGGAUUAAGACUAUAAAGUAUAAAUCACCUAUUAUUAUCUUCAAUUAAGAAUUAUGUUGAAAGUGGUUUGUUAGUGAACCUUCUUAUUGGGAGUAGAAAGAGUAAUCUCUCAAUACUUCAAGUUUCAUAUUUGAAGCGAGUCAAAAUGGGUGAGGGUAUUUUCUAUAAAUAGUAAAUAGUAUAUACAUGUGGUAAAUAAGAGGAUAUUAUAGAUCCGAGUCAUAGAAUAUAUUAAAUUCUCAUACAAGUUAUUCAAUCUAAUACAAUGAUUUUGUUGUAUCUAGGUAUCGAGUAGGAACAACUUGUUCAUAACGUAGUUGUUUUUAACUUUAGGCAAGGAUCUUGCUUCUAGAUUGCAUUUGGUCGACGUCGUGCAAAAAUAGUACAUGUAGAGUUAAAAUGAGAUAUAUUAAAUAGUUUAUUAGAUAUACUUACUCUAGUAUGAGAUGUUACAAGUGUAAUUUUUUGCUAUUACUCGAUCACCCCACAUUUGAGCUAUAUAUCAUAUUAUCAUUCAAGCAAGAUAAACAUAGAAACUUUCUGAUAGUCGUCAAAGGAAUGUUUGCGUCCUUUUUUAUGUUUGAUAUUAUUCCUACCUACGUAAAGACUUUAACUUCAACUACUAAAUAGUUUAAUAGGUAAAGAUAUUUAUUUUUGUGUUAUAUGUUACACAUGUAAGCUUUGUGCUUUAUUCUGGUGCUUGUCCAUAGAAAGUUUAUGCUAGUUGUCGAAGGAAUCUAGGAGUCUUUCUUGAUGUUUAAUAUUUUUGUUACCUAAAUCAUUCAACUUAACCUUGUUGAUCGCACUCAAGAUCUCUUUCUACCAUUGCCUAAGUUGUUCUUAUGGAACAUACGAACAAGUGACUACAACAAGUCUUAAUUUGUAUUAUAUUUGUUGUCAGGAUCGUCCUUUUGUUGAUGUCUAACUUUCCCUUCUUUUUUAAUUUUGUAUUAGGUCAAUGUCUUGAUGCAUACAGCUGAAACGUCUCUUAAUCCGGAAGAGCUUUCAACAGUAGUGGAGUUGGGAAGGAAGCACAUUGCCCAAGAUCCACUGGUAUUUCGUGUAAGCAAUGGGAAAGCAAAUCAAGAUGCCCCAAGAAAUCAACAAUUUGAAAGAGAAAAUAAAAAUAAAGGAAAGGAAAAAGUUGAUCCUUCAACCUCAGAAAACAACGAUCCAAGCUUCGAUGAACAAAAAUGUGGUGCUAUCUGGGACAUUUUUCGGAGGCAAGAUGUUCCUAAGCUGGAAGACUAUCUCCGAAGGCAUUACGGAGAGUUCAGGCGUGUCGUCCCUUUGCAGCAAGUAAUUAAAUCUUGAAUUUGAAAACAAUGUUCUACUCAACUUAUUCUGUUAUGGGGUUUAUCUCUCAUAUGGUAGUUACUAUUAUUUUUCUAACAGAAUUCUAAAAAUCAAGAUUUUGUUAAGCUUUUGGUAUGAUCUUUUAUUGUCGUAGCAUAAGUAGAUAGAUGUCUUUUAUUUUUCCAAAGUAUCGAUAUGUUUUGGAAUAUUUAUCAUUUAUUUUUUCCUCUAUUCGUGCACAGCUGGUUCAUCCUAUUCAUGAGAAAGCAUUUUACUUAACGAUGGAGCAUAAAAGGAAGCUGAAAGAUGAAUAUGGUAUGUUUUUAUUGUGUUGUAAAGUGGAAUAUGUGUGAAUUGCUAUGUAUAUUGAUUAUCUAUUUUUAUAUAUAUUUUUUUUUGUAGGAAUUGAACCAUGGACCUUUGUCCAGAGAUUAGGCGAUGCAGUUUUGGUACCAGCUGGCUGCCCUUACCAAGCAAGAAACUUAAAGGUUUGAGUGUUUGACUCGUAUACAACUUCGUGAACGACGACUUCAAUUAUUUUCAGUCGAAUGUAAAUUUUUCGCUGUGAAUUUUGCAAUUAAUUUUUGUGUGCGUGUUCCAUCUUGCAGUCGUGUACGAGUAUGUCCAUCGACUUUGUUUCAGCUGAAAGCGUCGGUCAGUGCAUCCGCCUAUCAACGGAGUAUCGGCGUCUCCCAAAGAAUCAUAGUUGUAAGGAAGACAUGCUGCAGGUAUGUCAAAAAUACGAUUGUCUUGUCAAUAAACAAAAUCAAAGAUAUAUAAUGAAUAAAAUUUGUCUGCUUGUAAGAAAAAUAAAGAUUGUGGAUGACAGCUAACGGCUCGUAAUGAAACAGGUGAAGAGAUUGGUUCUUAGUGCUGUCUGCCAAGCUGUGCAGUACUUGGACAAGAUUGAUGCGUAAGUCAUAUAUACAUAGGCUUGUUAAACAUAUGUCUUUGAUACGAUGUUAAUUCAUUUUAUUUUGUUCUUUCCCAGUAUGACGUUAAGAAGUCCAUUUGCACCCCCCUUUGAGCAUGGGAAUGUACGCCAUAAUCCAGCUCAGCAAGGGGAGAGACCUAGUAUUUUACAAAUGAGGAGGGAGUUGGAGAGGAUGAAAUUGGCUCUCGUAACGAAAGGCCACCUUUUUCAACCUCAUAUGAAAGACUAUCUCUUAAAAGAGAUUACGCUCCUCACUAAUAAAAUAAACUCCAGUGCUGGCUCUUCUUCAUCUUAGUUACACCAUUUUCAAUGGUUAGCCUACUUGUUGAGUUAACACAAUAUUUUGACAUUUUCAUCUGUGGAACUAUACUUUAUUUAUUUAGUUUUGUGCCAUACUUUUGUCCGAUUUCAUGAAUUUCAAAGGCCCUGAGAAUUUUCGAGUUGGUUUUGGCUAAUGUUUCUGUUUUUUGGUUUUAGUAUUAAGUUUGGGAAAAUGCAAAUUGAUAUUCCUGGUUGCUAAUGUUGUGUUUGCUGAAUGCGCAGGCCUGUUAGCAGUGGGUAUUGGGCUUGGGUGCUCAUGAGAAAUUCACAAAACGUAGUAAGGUCCUCUCAAACCCGUCCCGUAUAUUUUAAAUCUUUCCAAUAUGUAUAUUGUUGCCAGCUAAGAUUGGUCAAUGCUGAUACGUUAGAUAAGCUGGCGUGGCGCUGACGUGGCGUGGCUGGAUAAGGCACAAUUUAUUGCGAAUCGCUGCAUUGACUGCCGGCCUUAUCACGGUAGAUUUUCUCACCAUUAUAUAACACUCGUUUUCCCUUCCCCCAUUCAUUCCCAUAUCUCCCAUCUCUCGAUUCCUCUCUCAGUUUUCUUCUCGUCGUUUUCUCAGAUAUUUGUAAGUUUUUUAUUUAGUUUUCGAAUGAUGACUACCCGCCUGGCCCUAGUUGUAUUCAACAUUUAAUUUUCCAUCUUCUAACUAUUUUAUCGGAUUGAUGAUUUUUGAUUUAUUCUGGUUCAAAAUCAGAUGACAUGUCGUUUAACGAGAUACGCAAUUUAUUUUUGUUUUUGAAUUUUGUACUUUCCGAUCUUUCAUGCCCCUCCCGAGUUGAUUAACUUAUUUAUUUCUUUCUGGCAAUAUUCAUUUCUCUGGAUAUUCUUGAAAACACGACAGCUUUUACUUUGGAUUAGAAAGAGUACUCAAAGAGAUCAUAUAUUUUUGUCAUUUCGAUUUGCAGAUUAGUUUUCUACGACUAACUUUUGACUUUUGUGUCCUAGCUAUCUUGUUCCUCAAUGAAGGAAAAUUCAGAUGAAGCGGCCCAAUCUGAAGGUAAAUUUCGUAAUUACAAUCGUGGCACUUCUCUACUAUGAGUUAUCCCGUCAAUCGAAAAAAAUUGAAAUGUGAAAUAUGUGAUUGGAUAUGUCACCUUUGCUCGUUUUACGCUCUAUUGUUUGUUGGAUUAUUUACAAAUUAACUUUCUAAAAAUAACGAUGUUCUUCGUAUAGCUUUAAUCAUCAAUUAAGGUCUUAUUUUUUGUAAUCGUUUCUUGACGUGAAGAUCUUUAUGUGCACUCUUAAUGUUUUAUUGCAAUUAUACUUCAUGAAUAUAUAUGUCGUUUCUACCCUUUUUAUCGGCUACGUAUAAUUUCUUAUUCCAGGGGAGAUACGUAUACCUAGUCUUGCAUAAGUGAAGAGGGAGUUGGAGAGGAUGAAUUUGAUUCUCGAAACAAAAGGCCACCUUAUUGACCCUCAUAUAAAAGUCUAUCUUUUACAAGAGAUUUUGCUCCUCCUUAACAAAGUAAACACCGACGCCGAGUCUUCUACGUCUCAGUGACAGCGUAUCUACCGAUGCGUUAACGUUUUUCAUUAUGUAAUUUUGAGCAAUACCUUUUCUUUUUUUUCCGGUUUUGUGAGUUGUAGUGAGUUUGGUGAAUCAGCUUGACAUGAAUGAACUGUUUGUUUUUUAUUAUAAAAUAUAUCUUUAAUUCCGUAGCAAUAUUUUGUGUUAUUUGUAGCAGUUUCAUUUUCUCCUACAUUGUAUUUCGUACCGUAAUUCAAUUUUCUAAAUAAUAUAAAACGGAUGAGUAUCAAUGUUUUAAAAAUCGGAUCGAACAUUGACCGGAACAAGCUACUGGAUCAUGGUUGGAUCAGUUUAACCGGUUUUUUCAUUUUUUAUACAUAUCUUUUAGUAAAUAAAACAUAUUUUUUUCACACAUUAACUCAAUGCUCAUUUCCAAUUAAAAUUUAGAUCCGACUUAUUUUUCUUUUACACACAACACAUCACGCCGAAUCAUAGUAAAAAGACAUCGUUUUGGCCAUUUUAUUUGUUUAUUUUUUUAAUAAAACACAAUUUUAGAAAGAAAAAAAACCCGAUUUUCACUCAGGUUUUGAUAUUACAUUUCAACCGGUCAAACGGGACCGGACAAGACAAUGAUUCGCGAUUUAAUCGAUUGAACCAGCCAGUCCAGUCUAGUUCAAAACACUGAGUAUAAUACAAUUUUCUUAUGCAGUGCCAUUUUAUUUUAUCUUUUCUAGUACAUAGUUUCUGUAACAAUAAAAUAAAAAAUAAUGUAGCUUAUUUUCAUUAUUUUGAUAUUUUCUUAUAUUAGGUUUGGAGCAUUUUUUUUAAAGAAAAUUAAAUCACGCCCCGAAUUAGAAAGUAGGUGAGUGAUAUGAUUUAUUACGUACUUUCAACUUAACGAUGAGCUAGUAGCAAAUCUCAUUAUAAUAUUAGUCUAAAAUUUAUAUAUCGAACAAUGGUAGUAGUUGUGCUAAAAUUCAAAAUAAUGAUAAAUAUUGGAAUAAAUUGGGUUUCAAGAGUGAUUCAAAUAACAAUCGAAGUCUCUUCCAUGAUGUGAUUUGAUGAUUUUUUUUUAGGUUUUUCAACUUGAAAAAAGUAAUAAUAGGGUUUAACUGAAAUAAUUCUUAGUUAGAGGGGUUAAAGUCAUAUAUUAACACUAAGUUAGAAGGGUUGAAAUUAUAUUUAUGCUUAAUUUGAGGGGUUGAAGUGAUAUAUAAUGUUUACUUUAAAGGGGUUUGAACUUUAAUUUAUUUAGCAAAUGAUAUCAUCAAAUAGAAAAGCCUUUUCCGACGAUCAGUUGUCAAUUGUAAUCUCUCCACUCCCAGAUUAAACCCCACAGGUGGCAGUUGCAAUGUCCAUGCCCACCGUCGCCGCCGCCGUCACCGCCGCCGUCACCGUCACGUCACCGGCCGUAUUCUUUCUCGGCGCACGGUAAUUCGAGGAUGACUACUGUAUUGGUUAAUGUGCUCCGGCUAUGGUGGUGGGAGUUAUAUGAAGUUAAUUGGAUGUGGAAAUUCUUCAUCGGAUGGCUAUUUCCAGAUUGUAAGCCAUUAAAUUUACUGUUUUGGUGAAUUAUUUGAAAAUGCAAUUGCCUUUAAUUUCUCUAUGCCUUUUUUUGAUAGCAAAAUUUCGAGUACUUUGGUCGAAUUAAUUGGGCAACCUCAUACAUACCUAAUUGAACUCUUGGGAGAUUCAUAUUUGCCUGUGAAUAAUUUUAUCAAUGUAUAAGUAUAAGUGAUUAUAUGAUAAUACCGUAAAUUUUUCAAAUGUUGCAAUUUCUAUUGUCAUAUAUUAAUUUUUACGUUUAUAGAACAAUGUCUUAGGUUGUAUGCCUUACAAUCCUGUCUGCGUGGCUAUCCUGCUUGUCAUACUGGUUACGUUUAUAGAACAAUUGCUGCUCCUUAUUUAGAACUCAUAUUGUCUAUAGGAAAUGGUUCCUGCUAAUUUUACUUCUCAUUGUUUGAAGGAAUAUGGGGCAUGAUCGAGACCUGGCGAGAGAUGUAUUUUCAGUAUCAGGUAAUAUUUUAAUCUGGAUAUUGAAGCCUAGUCUUGGUGCUUAUUGAGUUUAUAUUUUUGGAAUAUGGGGCAUGAUCGAAAAGUGCUUUAUCUGAUAAUAUUUAUAUGAAAGAGCAUAUAUCGCAUAAAUGACUGCGUGGGUAAAUGCUUUUAUUGGCGGGGUUUCCCGCAAAUAAAUUUUACCCUACCCUCCCUACUCCCUAUUCCCAUUCUACUUUCUCACACAUUCUCUGCAUCUCUAAAUCCAUUCUACUUUCUCACACAUUCUCUGCAUCUCUAAAUCCCUGUUCAAUUUUCGAUCUCCAUCUCCUCAUUUUCUCUUAUCAAAGGUUCAAACUCAGAGGAAAAGUUGUUGAAACUCCAAUAAUUGAAAUGGUCAGGAUAUGCAUUUUAUAGAAGGAGAUAUUCGUAAAAUGUUAGUUGUACUGUUGGCUUGAAAUGAGAAGAAAUGCUUUAUAUUCUUCUACGUAUUUUAUUGAAAUAGAGAUCCUUUCCAUGUAUCAUAUAUAAUACAUUCAUUUUAUUGUCACGCCUCUUAUUAUUGGCUAGUUUUCGUUCUCUUAAGUUCGUUUUUUUAAUUCAUUACAAUUUUAUUUGCUAUGCAGAAUCUAAAUAGAGAAUAAUGAUGUUGGCUAAGAGCGAUCAAGACUGAGAUGAAAUGCCAAAAAUACCAAAGAGCAAUCAGUUUUCAGCAUUACCAAAGUAAGUUUGGUACAAUUUACUAGUGGUUCGGGUUUUGUUAAUGAAAUGCCAAAGAAAAAUCUCUAUAUUUUUUUACAGAAUAUUCAAUUCUACCUAAUCUAGAGGAAUUUAUGAACCAAACCUAGUUGUUUGGUUUUAGUAUUAAGUUUAGCAAAAUGCAAACUGAUAUUUCUGUUUGCUAAUGUUGGGUUUUAUGAAUGGACAGGCCUAUUAGCAGUGGAUAUUGGGCUUAGAUACUCUCUCAGAUCUCCAAGAAAUGGCUAAUGAAGAGUCCACAAAACAUAGUAAGGUACUGUCAAACCCUUCCAAUAUAUUUUGCAAAAUCGUAUACUCGCUAAAUUUGGUUAAUGCUAAUACGUUAAAUGAGCUGGCAUGUUGGUGGAUGGAUAAGGCACAAUUUAUUGCAUAUCGCUGCAUUGACUGUCGGUCUUAUCACGGCAGAUUUUCUCACCACUAUAUAACACUCGUUUUCCCUGCCCCCAUUCAUUCGCAUAUUGCCAUCUCUCUAUUUUCCUUUCAUUUUUUUACUUUUCUUGUCACCAUUUUCUCAGAUUUAAGGAUUUUUCUUUAUCUUUGGUUGAAAAUGAUGAGAUUUGUGUUCGAUAUUUUUUAAUUUUUAAUUUUUAAUUUAGUUUUCGAUUGCGCAUUUUUUUUUUUUUUUUUUUUUUUUUUUUUUUUUUUUUUCUCUUUCUUAUUCUUUGUUGGUCUCCACCUUAUCUCCUUAACUGUAUUAGACAUUCAGUUUUCUAUCUUCAAACUAUUUUCUGGAUUGAAGGCUUUUGAUUUAUUUCUGGAUGAAAAUCAGAUGACACAUCUGAUUGGACAUAAUUAAUUUUAUUUUAUUUUUGUUUUUGACUUUUAUAUUUUCAUUAUGCUUGGUUUACUCAUCCAUUUCUUUCUGUUCAAUUUUCAUUAUUUCUCUGGAAGUUCUUGAAAAUAUGGCAGCUCUUACUAUGGAUUUGGGUGAAAUCAUCUAUAUACCAGUUUGAUUGGAAAACUAGUUUUUUCGAAUUCAAACUGCCUAAAGAGUCCUAUGCCUCAGUAGUGAAUCUCAAUUUUUUUUUGCGAAAUUAGAUAUACAAAAGUGAGAAUCAAGGGUUCCUAUGUUAUAUGUUAAUAUCUUCGUCUUUCGGUGUGACAAACGCAAAUGAACUCAAACAAUUGUCCUCAGCGUCACAUGUGUGGUAAAGAUAUAGUUGUUGGAUACAUCAAAUGCAGUUUGAAGGAUUAUUGCGUUCUCAGCAUCACUAAGUUGUGCAAAAGUUUGUUGUUGAAGAUACUUUUUCAUUUCAGUGUUUCAGUUUUAUGUUAAGCUACUAAAAUUAUAUCUUUUGCAUCUGGAAAUUCGUUGACUGGAAUUAAUCUUGUGACGUAGGCUUCCAAAUUGUCACAGCCGAAGAAUUUCCACGACACAAAAGAUUUUAGUAGUGUCUAACAAUUGAGCAUUGAAGUAUAAAAUGUCUCCAACAACAAAAGUUCUCGACAUUUAAUAAUGCAUGAAACGGGAUAGUUAUUUUUUUUGCAUUUGGUGCAUCAUAAAACUAUUUCUUCAUCAUUCUUGUGGCAUUGAUGACAAUUGUUUGAGUCACUCUAUCAUACUCGAAGACAAAAAUGUUAACAUAAAAAUCUGUAGUUCUCACCUUUGAAUAUCUUGUUUUGUGAAGAAGUUGGAGAGAGAAUAUCUUGUUUUUAUGAGACGUGUUAUUGCACUUUCAGUUCUCAUUAGUACCCUAAUCGAUGUUGUUAUUAGAGACUUUUUGAUUUUAGUAAAUUCUUUGGUUGAAAUUCUGAUUUUAGGAUGCUAUCGUUACUUUCUAACUUGUUGCCAUCUAGGCUUCCAUCUUGUUUAGAACGUAAAAACUUCUGUUAAAAUUUUAGUUAGAAGCUUCUUUCAUUAUACUGACAACGCACUUGGAUAGAUGCACGCAUAAAGCAUAUACAAUCACAUUCUUCUGUUGGUCUCUAGUUAUUGCAUCGAGAAGAAUUGAACUACAUAUAUCUGACUUUCAAAGUUAUUAGUGUUAGAAAAGUGUUUUUCAUAUUUCAAAUAUGACUGAGAAAUGAGUUACUUACUGAGUUACUUUGUGUUUUCUGUUCUGACAAAAUAAUAUUUUCUCCUGCACUAUAACAUUAAUCUGUUUCACUUCGAAGCAACACUAAAUUUAGAGCACCUCACACGCGGUAUCACAUAAAUAUUUCUGCACCAUUAAACAGUGAUACAUCUAAAAAUCUUCACGAUUUGCUUAAUAUUGUAAAAAGAUCUUCCUGAUUGAGUAUUUAAGGAUGAAGGGUUUUUGCAGAGAGACCCGUACGAUGUGGUAAUAUUUGUAAUUUUAAUGAUUGUUUACGGUGUUACGUGGUCAAUAAAGUAUGUAUUAACCAAAGUGAUCCAAGGGUGUCUUAAGUUUGCAUUAUAGUGAAAAAUGCAUUUGGAAGAAUCUUUUUUGUACACACACACACAAUAAAAUUGACACAAUACAGUUAUAAAAGAUAUGCAAAUGCUAUGCGACUGAGAAAUUUAUUGUGGAGAAAGAUAAUUUUGUAUGAAGCACCAAUUCUGGAUGUUUUGACAACGAAUGAUGUACUAUCAAAUUGAAUACGUCCUCGUUUGGUUGUUACAAUGAGGUGACCAAGAUAAGAUUAUUUUAAUUUUAUUAGGGUCUAAUUGUAUAAAUGCACCAAUAAUCUAUAAGAGAAGGGCACAAUUUUUUUCUUUUCAAUUUUUUUAGAUGCUCCCAAAAAUUAUUGAAUUAACUAAAUAUGAAAGAAGAUAUAAUUAAUCAUGAUGUAUCUUGUUAACCAACAAAGCCAAAAUAUUUUUGAGAGCGAUUUUUUUUCUCCUGAGAGACUUUGAUAAUCGCUUGAUGUAAAUAUUCAUUAUUGAACAUAAUUAAUUAUGGUAUUGAAGAAAGUUGAUUUCCUCAAUUUGUGUUAUGUAUUUGUGGACACUUUUUAUGCGCCGUGGUAAUAAAAUAGUUGAAAUUCCAAAAACUAAAAGCUUUAGAUUUCUAUCAUUUGUAUGGCUUGUGCACAAGGAAGAAUGAAUAUGGUCAGGAUAUGCAUCUUGAAAUAUAUAGCUUAUAGUCGAGAAUGGAAAAUAAGAACUUUCAUUUUCAGAAUAUUUUAUGUUAUAGUAUUUGGUGAUAGCUUUAUUAGAGGAAUAUUUGGUCAAUGAGCUUACAUUUGUUUUUAUGUAUUGGAUGCUUAGCUAGUUUGUCCGGAAAUACGUAUUGAAGUGUUGAACCACACAGCGCUGUUUUAAGCAGCAGUGUACUUUAGUUGCAUAAUGCGCUUUCUAAAAAAUAAUUUCCUAGUUGGUAAAAUAAUUUUCUAAGACUUUUCUGAUUAGCUAACUUUAUUUUUCAGCUUCAAGAUUUCAUGAGAAAGAAAAAUGGGAAACUAACUCUUGGUACACUGGACAUCGUGGUUGCAUCUUUUUUCUUCUUCGCUUUUUCGGGUUUAAAAGAAUCAUUGAAAUAAUUUUAAGUUUUUAACGUAUAGGGAUUACUCACGAUUAAAUGAAAAUCUAUAGGUGCAAAAAAUUUGCUCAUAAGUUGUUUGAUCUUAAUCUGGUAUGGGGGCUACAAAAGUUUGGGUUGAGCUCCAAAGUUAUAUGCAUCUAAUCAAAACAACAUCAAAUAUCUAUAUUAAGCUUUUAUUGCACUGUAUAACUUGGCACUUCUUUAGCUUAUUGAGCAGAAAUCAAGCUAAACUUGAUAAAUAGGCUGACUAAUAUGAUAUCAAAAUUUACCAUUCCUAGAAAAAUUAUGCUGAAAUGAUCUACUUAGCAGUUGGGUAGAUGUGUAUGGUUUGGUAAACCGACCGAACCAAAACCAAAGCUUUAGUUUGUACCGAAUACUGAACUGCUAUCCUGUUUGAUAUUCGUUUUCCAUAUUUCACAGUUUUGGUUCGGUGCUGAUACUUUUGGUUUAAGUUUAUGCAACUGAACUGUGCUUUUCUUUUUUCUUUUUUUUUUAAUCAAUUUCUGGUCAAUCUCCUUCCUGGCUUCCGUUCUCAACUUUUAUUUAUUUAUUUAUUAUUUGUUUUUCUUUUUUCUUCAAAGGAGGAGCCGUUCUCAACUGUUUGAUAUGAUUGCAGAAGAGAUUUUUUCCAUGUAUGGAUUCAUUCCUGGUAUUGUCAUAUGCCUUAUAUUAGCUAGUUUUAGUUCUUUUCUUCCACCAAAGAAAAUGCAAGUUAAUAAGUUUAAAAGAUUCUUUUUUUUUUUUUUAAUUCAUUUGGAAUUUUACAUGUAAGCCUUUUGGAAGAGCAAUCAAGAUCGAGAUGGAAUUUUUGAAAUUUCCAAAGAGCAUUGCCGAAAUAUGUUUAGUGUAACUUCAUUUGUCUAUAAUUCAGUUCUCCCGGGAUCUUUACGAAUAUACCGAGCCAAACCAAUUUUUUUGGUUUUGUGUAUUAAGUGUUGCAAAAUGCAAAAUGAUAUUUCUGUUUUCUAAUUUUGGGUUUGCUGAAUGCACAGGCCUAUUAGCAUUAGCAGUGGAUAUUGGGCUUCGAUAAGAAGUCCAAGAAAUGGCUCGUAGAAGUUAAAAAACGUAGUAAGGUACUGUCAAGCCCAUCCAAUAUAUUUUGUUUCCGUAUAUUGCUGCCAGCUAAGAAUUGUUAAUGCUAAUACGGCAAAUGAGUUGGUGAGUUGGUGGAUGGAUAAAUCAAAAUUUAUUGCAAUUGACUGUCGACCGUAUCACGGCAGAUUUUCUCACCAUUAUAUAACACGCAUUCUCCGUGCACCAAUUCAUUCACCAUAUCUCCAUUUCUCUAUUCCUCUUUCAGUUUUCUUCUCAUCAUUUUUUCAGAUUUAAGGCUUUGCUUUAUUUUUUGGUUGAAAAUCAGAUGAGAUUUGUGUUUAUAUCUGUAAGUUUUUUAAUUUCAUUUUGUUUUUGAAUGAUGCCUACAGUUUUUUCUUAUUCUUGUUACACCCCCCUCCCCCCCUCCCUAGCUGCAUUCAACUUUCAUUUUUCCACCGUGUAAUCAUUUUCUCGGAUUCAAGGAUUUUGAUAUAUUUCUGGUUCAAAAAACAAAGGAGAUAUCUGAUUUGACAUACAUCAUUUUUUUUUAAUUUUGUAAUUUUUGAUUUUUCAUUCCCUGUCGCCUAGUUGUUUCCGUCCAUUUCUUUUUGGCCAGUUUUCAUUCAUUUCUACUUUAGAUUAAUGAUAGAUCUCAUCUCGAUUUGAAGAUUAGUUUUCUAGGACAAGUUUUUGUGUCAUAGUUAUGUUGCUUCUCUUUCUGAUGAUUUUUUUUCCUUGUAGAGUUAUCAAUGAAGAAAUAUCCUCUACCGGAAAUAUGCAGAGGAACGUGCUCAAUUUUAAGGUAAAUUUCGUGAAAGUCAAUUAUGACAGAUCUCUUAGAACCAAAGAUUGAUAAACAGAGAACAACAGGGAUCUGUUGUUGUCUUUCAAAAAAAAAAAUCUAGUCUUCAGUCACAAAAUGAUUUAGUAAAUAAACUUAUCUUAGUUAACUUAAUCAACAGAUCUUAAUUAACUUAAUCAACAGAUCUUACAUUAGAUACCCAUGUGAAAUGGAAGGAAGCUAUCUAUAUUUCUUUUUGAGAGGGUUAUAUCCGUAACUGUAGAUCUCUUAUAAUUUCACUCUCGUAAAGUAAGAUAUUCAAAAAGUAUCUUAUGUUAGCAUGUUUGUCUUUGGGUAUGACAGAGGAAAAGAAGCGACUCAAACAACUGUCAUCAAUGCCACAAUAAGGACAAAGAAAAUGUCCUACAGAUUCGGCGACGCGGUUUUCGUACCAGCUGGCUGCCCUCACCAAGCUAGAAACCUAAAGGUUUGUGUGUUUGACUCGUAUACAACUUCGUGAACGACGACUUCAAUUAUUUUCCAUCGAAUGUAAAUUUUUCGCUGUGAAUUUUGCAAUUAACUUUUGUGUACGAUGCUCCAUCUUGCAGUCGUGCACAAGUAUGUCUAUCGACUUUGUUUCAGCAGAAAGUGUCGGUGAGUGCAUCCGCCUGUCAACGGAAUAUCGGUCGACUCCCUCACAAUCAUAGUUCUAAGGAAGACAAAUUGCAGGUAUGUAAAAUAAUAUGAUUGUCUUGUCAAUAACUAAAACCGGAGAUAUAUAUAAUGAAUAAAAAUUUGUCUGCUUGUAAGAAAAAUAAAGAUUGCGGACGACAUCUAACGGCUCGUAAUAAAACAGGUGAAGGGAUUGGUUCUCAGCGCUGUACUUGGACAAGAUUGAUGCGUAAGUCAUAUAUGCUUGUUAAAUAAACAUAUGUCUUUGAUACGAUACGAUGUUAAUUCAUUUUAUUUUAUUCUUUACCAGUAUUACGUUAAGAAGUCCAUUUGCACCGUACGCCAGAAUCCAGCUCAGCAAGGGGAGAAACCUAGUCUUUCACAAAUGAGGAGGGAGUUGGAGCGGAUGAAAUCGGCUCUCGAAACGAAAGGCCACCUUUUUCAACCGCAUAUGAAAGACUAUCUCUUAAAAGAGAUUCCGCUCCUCACACGCUUUAAUAUGCUCUUUCAGAUAUGGUACAUUUGCACCCUCUAUACGCAUCGGAAUGUACAUCGGAAUCCUGCGCUGAUGAAAAAGAAUGUGUUGGCAGGUGAUUAAGUUUACUCUUGAAAGAAUGUGUAGCUAGAAACUAUGGAGAACCUCUGGCUGCUGUUAUAUUUAUAUAUACUUCAUUACUGUUUAACAUGAUUUAUAUAUAUGUUGGUGAGUAUUUGUUGAUUAUUGUUUUUAUUUACUAUAUAUAUAUAUAUAUAUAUAUAUAUAUAUAUAUAUAUAUAUAUAUAUAUAUAUAUAUAUAUAUAUAUAUAUAUAUAUAUAUAUAUAUAUAUAUAUAUAUAUAUAUAUAUAUAUAUAUAUAUAUAUAUAUAUAUAUAUAUAUAUAUAAAUAUAUAUAUAUAUAUAUAUAUAUAUANNNNNNNNNNNNNNNNNNNNNNNNNNNNNNNNNNNNNNNNNNNNNNNNNNNNNNNNNNNNNNNNNNNNNNNNNNNNNNNNNNNNNNNNNNNNNNNNNNNNAGGAAAUUCCUCGUCCAAAAAUUAUGACAUCUUAUUGGUAACUUGGUGGUCCCUACUAAUUUUUCUUCUCAUUAUUUGAAGGAAUACGGGGCAUGAUCGAGAGUUGGCAAGAGAUGUAUUUUCAGAAUCAGGUACUAAUUUAAUUUUGGAUGUUGAAGAGUAGCCUUAGUGCUCUUUUAAGUGUCAAAUAAUCGGAAAGUGCUUCAUCUGAGAACAUUUAUAUGAAAAACGAAAUGUCGCAGAUAUGAAUGCGUGACUUAGUUAUUCAAGACUAACGGAUAUAUUAAUAUAUGUCUUCAGUUAACUUGUUCAAGUAUUGAUCAAAUAUAUUAUACACAAUUGCAAGUGAUAUUACUCUUCGAUAUGUUCAAACAUUUCAAAAGAACUUUGGUUUUAGGAAAAGAAAUCGUGCCGGAUAUUUGUAAGAUAAUACAAUCGGGAAUGAGGUUUUUAGCAUCACUCCUUGAGUUUUUGCUUUUUUCAUACCUAGGUAAUUUAAAUUAAUGGCUCAAGGAAGUUCACAAUAGACUGUAUGGUAGAUUUCAUAUCUCGCCAAAUGUCAUUUUGCUGACAGCUAUGGUUGGUGUAACUGCUAAUAUGUAAAAUUAGCUGGCAUCGUCACUGGAUAUGAAGCAAUUUAUUAGGGGUCGAUACAAUCAAUGCUGACCUUAUCGGAUUUAUUGGCGGAGUUCCCCACAAAUAAAUUUUACCCUCCCCUCCCUCCCUACUCCCAUUCUUCUAUCUCGCCCAUUCUCUCCACCUCUGUAUCCCUUGUUCAAUUUUCAAUCUUCAUCUCCUCAUUUUCUCAAAUUAAAAGCUUCUGUUUUGUUUGUGGUUCAGAAUCAGAAGAGUUUGUGAUCUGAUUUAGGUGAUUUUAUAUUACCUUUUCUUGUUUUUCCCUUUUUAUUCUUAAACUUGAUGAACUGAGUUUGCCAUCUAAUUUCCACCUCUUUCAUGUUUCAUUUCAUGACACGAUAUCUUCUAUUUUAGAUUAAAAAAGAACAUGUGUUUGUCAUCUUGAUUUUGAAGAUUAGAUUUUAGGAUUAGUUUUCUUACUCCUCCUUGGUGAUUAUUUUAUCGUUUAUGUUGUAGAAACUAAGGUUGGUUUAGUCACUGCAUGUAUUCUUACUUAUAAUUAAAAAUUAAAAUAAUAGAUGUAUAAUUAGAGUGGUGCAAUCCUUAUGAAGAAACCAAUAACCACUAUUAUAUACUCUAUAUUUUUUUUCCUUAACCUGUAUCUCCCACUUUUUUUUUUUUUUUUGUAGUAGAAUUUAGAGGACAAAAAAACAUUAGUCGGCAAUACUCGGCAUAGGUCAUGUGAACAUAUUAAUUUUUUUUAUUUUAAUGGUUGAAAUAUUUAUUAAUAGAUUCUGGUGAACUAGUUACUAGGACCAGUUUUAUUGUCAGUGUGCAUAAGUAGUAAGUAGCAAUAAUUUAAAAUUAAUAUUUUUCUUUAAAUGUCCUUAAGGAAUCCUAAUUUGAGAUUUUUUUCCUGGGCCCUCCAUUUUACAGGCAUGGUAAGUAAAAACGUUUUUGGUUAGUGAGAAGGAAAAUGAUUUACAUAUUUAUGUGAAUCAUCAUAAUUCAUAAGAUUGCAAUAGUCAGUAUUAUAUUGCAGUAAUAUGUAUAAGUUUGCAAUAGUCAACAUUAUAUUGCAGUGAGCAGUAUCGGAUUACAGUAAUCAACACAAUUUUCCUUUUUUGCUAGUAAGACAUGCUUAUUUCAUUUCCCUGGAACAAUUAUGCAUACAUUUUGCCAUUGCAGUUAAGAGAACGUGGUGCUCUGACUGAGAAAACAAUUGAAAACCAAGAUUUAUCAAGGCAAUUAAUUUCGGGGAGUUAAAAUGAUGCCAUUGAGAAGUUCAAAUGGAGAAACAUCUUCUGCUGGAAAUAUGCAAAUGAACGGACACAACUUAAAGGUAAAUUAAUAAUGUUAAUUGUAGCAGAUCUAUAGAACAAAACAAUUCGAAACAGAAAAUAACAUGUUGCCUUCCUAGUAUUAUGUAUAUCAGUUGAGAUUUAAAUUUGAUAUAAGUAUAUAGGUUGCAGAAUUCAGUUAUCCAUGCAAUUGUCUUGUAUCAACUACUUUUUAGAAGUAAAAAAUCAAAUUGCAUGUGUAAAUACCAAGUUAGAAAAACCCCUUUUCAGACUAUUCGUAGUGAAAUUACUUUGACUAAAUACAUUUAUUUGUAAGUGUGGAUUCUUCGAUUUUGUGAUGUUGGUCUUGAAUUAUUUAGUCUUCAAUCAUGAAGUGAUUUAAUGUAAAUAAAUGUAUCUUUGUUAUUUUAAUCAAUAGAUCUAAACAUUAGAUAUCCACUGGACAUGAAUAUAUAUAUAUAAGGCGGCAGAAAACAAUGAUAUGUCACCACAAUUAAAGUUAAGAUCCUAAAGAAGAUUAUAUCCAGAACCGUAGAUCUCAUCUAAUUCAUUCCAUUGCCAACUUUUCAUAAAGUACUAUAUUAAAAAUCGAGGAUAUACUCUAUGUUAAUAUGUUUUUCUUUGGAUGUGGCAGAGGAAAAGCAUCGACUCGACCAAUUGCCAUCAAUGUCAUAGAAACGACAAAGAAAAAGUCGUGCGAUGCACCAAGUGCAAGCAUAGGGGUUAUUGUAUUCUCUGUAUCAAUAAAUGGUGAGAAAUUUUGUUGCUUGAUAUAUUUUUUGUUGCUCUUAUGUUGGUACUUGAUAAAUGUCAUUUAAGUCGUACUGAUUAAUUUUGAGUUUUACCGCCACAAAGCAGGAUGGUAUAUUUAUUAUCUUCUCUUUGGAAUAGACCUACUACUCAUUUAGUCAUUUAUGAAUGAAUUUUUGCUUAAACAUGUUUCAAAGUAAGGGCUUCCCUUGGUUCUACACUAACAUUAUUCCUGCAUUUUCUUCAUUUUAUAGAUAUAUUUUUUUAUCGUCGAUGCUCUUGCAUAUAGAUUUACUAUAUCUCUGUUGUAAUCACAGGUACAAAGGGCUGCAAGAGGCAGACUUUGCUGAAGCAUGCGCAGGCUGUCGCAAAAUUUGCAACUGUACAGCUUGCAUACAUUCUGAUUUGGAGAAUAAAGUUAGUAUUAAGGUUUUUCUCUUGAUUUUAUAUUAAUAUAGUAUUUUAUAUGUUUUCUAAUUAAGUCUCUUGUUCUUGCAUGUUAGGACAUGUUCAAACCAGACUUGCAGCUUGACAUCAACAAAAAGGUCGAGUACUCAAAAUAUAUUAUUAGAGUACUUCUUCCUUCUUUUAGGAAGUUUGUUGUUGAGCAGAACAUAGAAAGAGAAGAAGAGGCAAGAAUUCAAGGUAACUUUAACUUUUGUUAGGAGGUUUUAACGUUCACCUGUAUUACACUUUUUGUUUAGAAAAUUAUUUUGAUAUCUCUUAUCUUCUUCUUACUGAUAUGGAUUUUGAUGCCUCCAAACGAAAUCAAAGAGUCCUAAAAUGGUAUUUAAUGGCACUAUGCAUUAUUGAAGUUUCAGGAUGAUGUUUUCUAAUAAUAUUAAUUUCUGCCGUGUAGAAGUGUUGAACAUAUUUACAGUUUAUCGUACACUACUUGUUUCCUGAAGAUCCAUGAGUUUAGAAGGGAGAUUCUUGUUUUAGGUGUGCCUUUGUUUGUGUUACUAAACACUCUGGAAACAGUAAGCAUAUCUAAAUCUUAUGUUCUUAUCCAUCACCACUGCUCACGGCCAUUAUCCUGCCAAACAUGUAUAUUGAAUUGUUUAUUCAACAAAUAUAAUAAAUAGAAAAGGAUUUUAUGUUAACAGUUUCCGUCAAUUGUAUGUGCUACUCCAUUUCAGUGAUUUAUGAUUUUGAGGUAUUAGUGAGACGUACCUGGAGAUAAACAUAAUUGAUAGGACUUUUGAUUUUCCCUAGCAGAUGUAGUUUCGUUGUUUGAUUAAUUAUAAUAUAUAUAUAUUUUUGGUUGGGCAGGUGUUUCAGUUGCGGGACUUCAGCUUCCGAAAGCCAACUUUAUCCAGGGCAAUAAAGUCAAAUGGUGGAUACUUUUAACCUAUGUCGUUUUCCUGAUAAAUGUUUGCUCCAGUAUGCAAAAUGUUGAUAAUUAUAACUUGUGCUGUGCAGCGACAACUGUAAGACUGCAAUAUUCGAUAUCCACAGAAGUUGUCUAAACUGCACGUACAAGCUCUGUGUAACUUGUUGCCGAGAGAUAAGGAAUGGCUUCCAAUGGGGAAAUGACAAAUAUCACGUUCAUCAUGGGGGUCGUACUUUUACAAGCAAUGACAGAUUUUCUGCAGCAGCCUGUUGUUCUAUGGACCACACGAGUUUUACUUCUGAAUGGAAGAUGAUAGACAGAGGUACCAUAGUUUGUCCACCUGAAAUUAUGGGGGGAUGUGCUCAUGGGAAUAUGGUGUUAAAAUCCACAUAUCCAGAUAACUGGGUAUCGGAACUGCUAAUUAAAGCAGAGUCCAUAGAUCUCGAGGUGGGUGAAAUUUCUGAACAAGCAUGCUCAUGUUCAGGGAGUGAAGUCUGUAAUUUCCGUUGUCCCACAGUUGUGGGCGUUGACCAAAAGCACUUCCAACGGCACCUAUAUAAAGGUGAGCCCGUGAUAGUCCCUGACGUGCUCAGCAGGACGACUGGGUUGAGUUGGGAGCCAUUAGUCAUGUGGCGUGGUUGCCGCAAAUCUAGAAGGACUAAUGAUGCUCGCAUUCUGGAAUUCAGCGUAACGAAUUGCGUAAAUUGGUGCAAGGUAUGCCAUGCCGACUUCUCUAUUAUGUUUUACUCUAUCAAUCAAAAAGUUUUAAUUUGGAAUUUUGUGAUUGGAUGACUCUCACCUUCGCUUAUUCUUACAUCCUUUUAUUUGUUAUAAUAGUAACAAAUGAAUUUUCUAAUAAAUCAUGUUGUUCUUCGUAUCCCCCCCCCCCCCCCCCCCCCUUUUCUCUCAAUCAUGAUCUUAUUUCUUGUAAUUGAUUCUAGGUUGUAUUGUUUAUGUUCUUGAGAAUUCACUUGCUGCAAAUGGCUGCAGUAUUCUAUUGGUCCAUGUAAUCUUUCAAGAGAAGAACCAAGUAACAGAAAUAGUAAUCGUUUAUUUUCCUUAGUUUUCUUGCAAAUUUCUCUUCAUAUUGUGUCAACCUUCAAAAUCUCAAAACUUUAGUUGGGUUAAUAAGUGUCUAACACGAAUUUGGAUAGGAGAAAGCAAAGAUCUAACGAUUCGCUCUUAAAUAGAGAUGUUUUGAUAGAUUUGCUCUUGAUGUUUUUUUUUUUGCAUUUAAUUGUAAUGAUUUGAUUUUGGGACUAUGACACGCAGGAAACUAUAAACAUGCACCAAUUUUUCAACGGGUAUUCUGAAGGCCUCUUGGACAGUGAAGGCCGGCCCAAAAUUAUGAAGUUGGAGGAUUGGCCUCCAACUGAAUCCUUUCAAGAACGGCUGCCUCGGCAUUUCGUAGAGUUCAUUAGAUGCUUGCCUUUCAAGCUAUACACACAUCAAGCUGGCUACCUCAACAUGCCAGCGAAAGCACCAAAAAAGUCGUUGAAGCCGGAUUUGGGUCCAAAAAUAUGCUUUGCUUAUGGAGUUAAUGAGGACCUUGGCUUCUGUUCUGCAACCAAGCUUCAGUAUGCUCUUUCAGAUAUGGUACAUUUUUUCUUUAUAUCUGUCUUUAUUAACUUGAAUAUUUAUGAGAAUACAUGAGCUGCUUUAAAUCAUUUCCGAUUAGUCUGCCUAUUGCAUCGAUAGAAGCAGUACAUCUCCCAAAGAAUAUUCUUAUGAAGUCGUGGGUAUUUAUAUCUAUUCAAUGCAGUCCUAAUUCUUCUUUCUUGCAUUUAAUAUGUUAAUCUUAAUUGUUGACUCAUUAUACGAGUUGUCGAAGAAAUCUUGGAGUCUUUCUUGAUGUUUAAUAUUUUUGUUAGCUAAAUCAUUCAACUUUACCUUGUUGAUUGCACUCAAGAUCUCUUUCUAUCAAUGCCUAAGUUGUUCGUAUGGAACAUACGAACAAGUGACUACAACAAGUCUGAAUUUGUAUUAUAUUUGUUGUCAGGAUCCUGCUUUUGUUGAUUCUAACUUUCCUUUCUUUUUUAAUUUGUUUUAGGUCAAUGUCUUGAUGCAUACAGCUGCAACGUCUCUUAAUCCGGAUGAGCUUUCAACAAUAGUGGAGUUAGGAAGGAAGCACAUUGCCCAAGAUCCAGUGGUAUUUUCUGUAAGCACUGGGAAAGCAUAUCAAGAUGCCACGAGGAAUCAACAAUUUGAAAGGGAAAGUAAAAAUAAAGGGAAGGAAAAAUUUGAUCCUUCAACCUCAGGAAACAACGAUCAAAGCUUCGAUGAACAAAAAUGUGGUGCUAUCUGGGACAUUUUUCGGAGGCAAGAUGUUCCUAAGCUGGAACACUAUCUUCGGAGGCAUUACGGAGAGUUCAGGCGUGUCGUCCCUUUGCAGCAAGUAAUUAAAUCUUGAAUUUGAAAACAAUGUUCUACUCAACUUAUUCUGUUAUGGGGUUUAUCUCUCAUAUGGCAGUUACUAUUAUUUUUCUAGCAGAAUUCUGAAAAUCAAAAUUUUGUUAAGCUUUUGGUAUGAUCUUUUAUUGCCGUAGCAUAAGUAGACAGAUGUCUUUUAUUUUUCCAAAGUAUCGAUAUGUUUUGGAAUAUUACUAGUUUAUUUUUUCCCUCUAUUCGUGCACAGCUGGUUCAUCCUAUUCACGAGAAAGCAUUUUACUUAACAAUGGAGCAUAAAAGGAAGCUGAAAGAUGAAUAUGGUAUGUUUUUAUUGUGUUGUAAAGUGGAAUACGUGUGAAUUGCUAUGUAUAUUGAUUAUCUAUUUUUAUUAUGUUUUUUCUUGUAGGAAUUGAACCAUGGACCUUUGUCCAGAGAUUAGGCGAUGCAGUUUUGGUACCAGCUGGCUGCCCUUACCAAGCAAGAAACUUAAAGGUUUGAGUGUUUGACUCGUAUACAACUUCGUGAACGACGACUUCAAUUAGUUUCAGUCGAAUGUAAAUUUUUCGCUGUGAAUUUUGCAAUUAAUUUUUGUGUGCAUGUUCCAUCUUGCAGUCGUGUACGAGUAUGUCCAUCGACUUUGUUUCAGCUGAAAGCGUCGGUCAGUGCAUCCGCCUAUCAACGGAGUAUCGGCGUCUCCCAAAGAAUCAUAGUUGUAAGGAAGACAAGCUGCAGGUAUUUCAAAAAUAUGAUUGUAUUGUCAAUAAACAAAAUCAAAGAUAUAUAAUGAAUAAAAUUUGCCUGCUUGUAAGAAAAAUAAAGAUUGCGGAUGACAUCUAACGGCUCGUAAUGAAACAGGUGAAGGGAUUGGUUCUUAGUGCUGUCUGCCAAGCUGUGCAGUACGUGGACAAGAUUGAUGCGUAAGUCAUAUAUACAUAUGCUUGUUAAACAUAUGUCUUUGAUACGAUGUUAAUACAUUUUAUUUUAUUCUUUACCAGUAUUGCGCUAAGAAGUCCAUUUGCACCCCCCUUUGAGCAUGGGAACGUACGCCAAAAUCCAGCUCAGCAAGAGGUGAGACCUAGUAUUUUGCAAAUGAGGAGAGAGUUGGAGCGGAUGAAAUUGGCUCUUGUAACGAAAGGCCACCUUUUUCAAUCGCAUAUGAAAGACUAUCUCUUAAAAGAGAUUACGCUCCUCACGAACAAAAUAAACUCCACUGCUGGCUCUUCAUCUUAGUCACACCAUUUUCAAUGGUUAGCCUACUUGUUGAGUUAACAUGUCUUGCCUUAAUUAUUAUUUUGACAUUUUCAUCAGUGGAACUAUACUUUAUUUAUAUAAUUUUGAGCCAUACUUUUGUCCGAUUUCAUGAAUUUCGAAGGCCCUGAGAAUUUUCGAGUUGGUUUUGGCAUGAUGCAGGCUAAUGUUUCUGUUUUUUGGUUAUAGUAUUAAGUUUGGGAAAAGGCAAAUUGAUAUUUCUGUCUGCUAAUGUUGUGUUUGCUGAAUGCACAGGCCUGUUAGCAGUGGAUAUUGGGUUUAGGUGCUCAUGAGAAGUUCACGAAACGUAGUAAGGUACUAUCAAACCCGUCCGGUAUAUUUUAUAUCUUUCCAAAAUGUAUAUUGUUGCCAGCUAAGAUUGGUCAAUGCUGAAACGGUAGAUGAGCUGGCGUGGCUUGGCGUGGCUGGAUAAGGCACAAUUUAUUGCGAAUCGCUGCAUUGACUGCCGGCCUUAUCACGGUAGAUUUUCUCACCAUUAUAUAACACUCGUUUUCCUUCAUCCAUUCAUUCCCAUAUCUCCCAUCUCUCUCAUCCUCUCUCAUCCUCUCUCAGUUUUCUUCUCGUCGUUUUCUCAGAUAUUUCCCACCCCUCUUAUUUAGUUUUCGAAUGAUGANNNNNNNNNNNNNNNNNNNNNNNNNNNNNNNNNNNNNNNNNNNNNNNNNNNNNNNNNNNNNNNNNNNNNNNNNNNNNNNNNNNNNNNNNNNNNNNNNNNNNNNNNNNNNNNNNNNNNNNNNNNNNNNNNNNNNNNNNNNNNNNNNNNNNNNNNNNNNNNNNNNNNNNNNNNNNNNNNNNNNNNNNNNNNNNNNNNNNNNNNNNNNNNNNNNNNNNNNNNNNNNNNNNNNNNNNNNNNNNNNNNNNNNNNNNNNNNNNNNNNNNNNNNNNNNNNNNNNNNNNNNNNNNNNNNNNNNNNNNNNNNNNNNNNNNNNNNNNNNNNNNNNNNNNNNNNNNNNNNNNNNNNNNNNNNNNNNNNNNNNNNNNNNNNNNNNNNNNNNNNNNNNNNNNNNNNNNNNNNNNNNNNNNNNNNNNNNNNNNNNNNNNNNNNNNNNNNNNNNNNNNNNNNNNNNNNNNNNNNNNNNNNNNNNNNNNNNNNNNNNNNNNNNNNNNNNNNNNNNNNNNNNNNNNNNNNNNNNNNNNNNNNNNNNNNNNNNNNNNNNNNNNNNNNNNNNNNNNNNNNNNNNNNNNNNNNNNNNNNNNNNNNNNNNNNNNNNNNNNNNNNNNNNNNNNNNNNNNNNNNNNNNNNNNNNNNNNNNNNNNNNNNNNNNNNNNNNNNNNNNNNNNNNNNNNNNNNNNNNNNNNNNNNNNNNNNNNNNNNNNNNNNNNNNNNNNNNNNNNNNNNNNNNNNNNNNNNNNNNNNNNNNNNNNNNNNNNNNNNNNNNNNNNNNNNNNNNNNNNNNNNNNNNNNNNNNNNNNNNNNNNNNNNNNNNNNNNNNNNNNNNNNNNNNNNNNNNNNNNNNNNNNNNNNNNNNNNNNNNNNNNNNNNNNNNNNNNNNNNNNNNNNNNNNNNNNNNNNNNNNNNNNNNNNNNNNNNNNNNNNNNNNNNNNNNNNNNNNNNNNNNNNNNNNNNNNNNNNNNNNNNNNNNNNNNNNNNNNNNNNNNNNNNNNNNNNNNNNNNNNNNNNNNNNNNNNNNNNNNNNNNNNNNNNNNNNNNNNNNNNNNNNNNNNNNNNNNNNNNNNNNNNNNNNNNNNNNNNNNNNNNNNNNNNNNNNNNNNNNNNNNNNNNNNNNNNNNNNNNNNNNNNNNNNNNNNNNNNNNNNNNNNNNNNNNNNNNNNNNNNNNNNNNNNNNNNNNNNNNNNNNNNNNNNNNNNNNNNNNNNNNNNNNNNNNNNNNNNNNNNNNNNNNNNNNNNNNNNUCGCGCCUUUGACCCCCGCCCUUUCCCGGGAAGUUUUUUCCCCCAUUAAAAAAACCUGGUUUUCCUUAACCCAUUAAUUCCAAUUUUCCCCAUUUUUUUAACCCUUUUUAACCCUUUUAAAGUUUUUUUCUGGGGGUUUUUCAAAAAAUUGGAAAGUUUUUUUUUUGGUUUGGGAGGGGGGCUUCCCCCCCCCCCCCCCCCCCCCCCCCCCGGCCCUAGAUGUAUUCAACAUUUAAUUUUCCAUCUUCCAACUAUUUUAUCGGAUUGAUGAUUUUUGAUUUAUUCUGGUUCAAAAUCAGAUGACAUGUCGUUAAUUGAGAUACUCAAUUUAUUUUUGUUUUUGUUUUUGAUUUUGUACUUUCAUCCCCCCCCUCCCGAGUUGAUUAACUUAUCAAUUUCUUUCUGGCAAUAUUCAUUUCUCUGGAUAUUCUUGAAAACACGACAGCUUUUACUUUGGAUUAGAAAGAGUACUCAAAGAGAUCAUAUAUUUUUGCAUUUCGAUUUGCAGAUUAGUUUUCUACGACUAACUUUUGACUUUUGUGUCCUAGCUAUCUUGCUCCUCUUUCUGAUGACCCUUUUUUUUUCUCUUCUUUUUUUUAUUGUGAAGUUACCAAUGAGGGAAAAUUCAGACGAAGCGCCCCAAUCUGAAGGUAAAUUUCGUAAUUACAAUCCUGGCACUUCUCUACUAUGAUUUAUCCCGUCAAUUGAAAAAAAUGUAAUGUGAAAUAUGUGAUUGGUUACGACACCUUUGCUCGUUUUACGUUCUUUUGUUUGCUGGAUUAUUUACAAAUUAACUUUCUAAAAAUAACGAUGUUCUUCGUAUAGCUUAUUUCAUCAAUCAUGGUCUUAUUUCCUGUGAUCGUGUCUUGGUCGUGGUUUGCACUUCACAUUUCAAUUAACUCACAACGUGGCUUGUAAAUCUCUUUGUGGCCGGCCAACAUCUUCAAAAUGUCAAUACUCUGUUUGGCUCAAGUGGUUUUUCGUUCAUGAAUUUUUAGCCGUGAAGAUCUUUAUGUGCUCUCUUAAUGUUUUAUUGCAAUUUUAAUUCAUGAAUAUAUAUGUUGGUUCUACCCUUUUUAUCGGCUACGUAUAAUUUCUUAUUCCAGGGGAGAUACAUAUACCUAGUCUUGCAGAAGUGGAGAGGGAGUUGAAGAGGAUGAAACUGAUUCUCGAAACAAAAGGCCACCUUAUUGACCCUCAUAUGAAAGCCUAUCUUUUGCAAGAGAUUUUGAGCCUCCUUAACAAAGUAAGCACCUCUGCCGAGUCUUCUACGUCUCAGUGACACCAUAUCUACCGAUGCGUUAAUGUUUUUCAUACUAUAAUUUUGAGCAAUAUUAUUUUUUCUUCGUUUUUUUGUGAGUUGUAGUGAGUUUGGCUAAUCAGCUUUGACAUGAAUGAACUUUUGUUUUUUAUUAUAAUAUAUAUCUCUAAUUUCGUAGCAAUAUGUUGUAGCAGUUUCAUCUUUUUCCUACUUUGUAAUUCGUACCAUGAUUUAAUUUUCUUAAUAAUAUAAAACGGAUGGAGUAAAUGUAUUGAAAACUGGAUCGGACGUUGACCCGAACGAGCUAUUGAAUCACGGUUGGAUCGGGUUUUUUUUUUCAUUUUUUAUUUUAUAAUUAUUUACAUAAUUUUAAUAGUAAAUAAAACAUAUUUCUUUCACACACACAUUAACUCAUUUGCAAUUAAAAUGUAAAGCAAACUCAAUUUUCUUUUACACACACACACACCAUAUCAAAAUACACAUAUCAAAUCGAAUCAUUUCAAAUAUUAUAGAAAUUAUAAUUAAAAAUAAGGUUUAUUACACUACACCAAAAAGGCUAUUUACUAACAGAUAUAUCCAUUACAAAUAAUUUUUCUAACGGGAUAAAACCGUUAGAAAUAGUGCGUGAGAAAUUUAAUCGUCUGUAUUUCCAACGGAUAUAAACCGUUAGAAUAAUUAACAAACUGUUAGAAAAAUAAAUAUUUCUAACGGUUCUUAUCCGUUAGAAACAUUGUUGUAACGGUUUGUGUUUUAACACUUACUUCUAAAUUCCUAACGGAUAUGGCCGUUAGAAAAAUUAAGAGAAAAAAAACAAAAAAAAAAGUUUAAAUAAAAUAAAUAAUAUUAUAUAUAUAUAUAUAUAUAUAUAUAUAUAUAUAUAUAUAUAUAUAUAUAUAUAUAUAUAUAUAUCUCUAUAUAUCUAUAUAUAUAUAUUGCUCUGAAUUUUGAAAUAAAUUGCAAUUUAUAAAACAUAAGGUCUCUAUAAUUACAUAAAAAAAUGAAUUUGAAGUGUAAAAAAAUCGAUGUAUACAAUCCACCAUUACAUUUCACUAUCCAUAAAUCCAUACAGUAACCACAAGUCCUUAAGACUCAUGCUAAUCUAUACCAAACAGAGAACUUAAACACAUAUACAUACUAACCAACCAAAAGAAAAAUAACAUAUCCCUUGAACCUGGUAUCAUAGAAUUCCUACCUAUUAAGCUGUUAAGAUCACCAACUCAACCCAUAACCCAUACCGGGGUGUUCCCCCCAGUUCCGAUAUUCAGAGCAUUUUGACCUGAAUCCAUAAACAAGAGAAAGUUAUGUGAGAUAAAAAUGCAAUUACCUGGUAUUUUCUUAUCACGUUGAACAAAAUGACAUGAAAUCAUGGACAAAGAACAAAGAACUAUAGAUCUUAUAACUCUUUUUGUUCAUUUAGCAUUCCAGAUGUAAUACAACAAAAAUCGUCAAAAAUAAUGAAAAAUGUUAGUACAAAAAUAUUACACAGACAUGAUAAAACACAUUGUCUCCACAUUAUAUAUACAACAAAAAAUGCAAGAUUAUUACCUGUAUGGCGUCCUACCUGCGGCACCAGGAAAUAUAAGUUAGUAAAACUCAAUAGUAAUAAUACAUGAUACUAUGCAAUAGUAAUAAUACAUGAUACUGCAACCUGCCAAACUUGAUCAAUAGGUGAUGGUGGUCUAAGAAUUGGACAUGGUGCCACAUAAUCAACAAAUUAUCAAAAGGCUGUAGAUGUAAAUUAGAAUUUCAAUAAUAUGUAUUUGAGAUUCCUACCUUCCAUAUAACCAAAUCAGCAUAAUCUUGGAAAUGGAAAUAAAACUUCUUCUUCAGGCAUUGCAUUCUUGGACAAACAAACAAAUACAUUACACAUAAGCUGAUAGGUAAUGUUAGGUGAAAAAAAUUGUUUUCUUGAGAAUUAAAAGCAGAAAAUAUCAAGACAUUAUAAUAAAAACUCAAUGGCUCACAUUAGAUAAGUCCAGCAGAUUUUAAUACAGGACAUAAAAAAAACGAGUUCAAAAAUCUUUAUGAUUUUCAUCACUACUUAUACGACUCACCAAUGUUGGGUCAUUUUCUUCAUCCAUAUGAAUGAGAGAAUGCGAUGUUUCAAACUACUAAAAAAGAAGAUUCAGGAAUAUGUUAGAUAUGAUCCGAGGCAUUCAAUACUUUAGCUGUUCUACAUUUGCCCGAGUUGACAUACACUGAAAUUUAACAAUAAAACUGCCCAUCAAAACCAACACAGAUAACUAAGUUAUCAUCAAGAAACUGUAAAAUGAAAUAAAAUUAUAAGUUCGACUUUUCCCCAAGUUUAAAUAGACUGCAAUUUAACACAAAAAAAAAAAUGCCCAUCAAAAUAAACCAAAUAACCAAGUUCUCAACAAGAAACUGUAAAAUGAAAUAAAAAUCUAAAAAGGAAUAAAAAAUAGAUCAAUAUUCAUUAAGCUCAUCUUUUCCUUAUGGUGUCAAUUUAAGAGCGUGUGACUAUACCAGUUGCCUGAUCACUGGAAUCGGGGAAAAGCUCAUCAUCUUCACGGCAAUAUUCUCCAACCGACCGCACAUCAACAAGAUCGCCAGAGUCGAAUCUGAAGAAUCGGAUUCUCUGAUUUGCUGAUUUCAUCAAAUCAAAAGCGAAAAAGUUUAGAACCUAUCACAAAAAAAGAUCUGAAAACGCUUCCAAUUUGAAGAAUAUGCGACUAAAAAUUAAAAAUUACCAUAAAUCAACGAACAACUUUUGCUGAAGCAUCUGCAUCCAAUAUUGUUGUUCGCCGUCGAAUUGAAAAGGUGUAUUGUGGGUGGUGGUGCAAGAGAACCGAUAACCCUACACGUUCUUUCUCACCCCAUCGGUUUUCUUUUCCUUCACCAGACUAGAAGAUAGAGAAUGGAUUGGUUUUUAAUAAAUAUUAAAUAAUGAAAAUUCCUUAAUUUUAUUUUUAAUGUAAAUAUUAUAUAAUAUAUUAUAGAUUUAGUUCAUGUAUUACCAACGCAUACCAACCGUUAGCAAUAACUUUUCAAUUGUUACUAAUUUAAUACAAAUAAAUUAUUAUUAAUUCUAACGGAUAAGUAAAUUUUCUAACGGAUAUAGCCGUUAACAAUUUCUAACGGCAUAUAUCCGUUAGAAGAUACAAACUUAUGCCGUUAGAAAAAUCUCCUUUUGGUGUAGUGUUAGCGAGUCCCCUCAAUAUUUAUUUCAAUAAUUUUUUUUUUAAUAAAUUCGUCUUUUUUUUCUUGGAAGAUUUAUCAUCUCGUAAACAACUACAAAUUACAAUAAUCAACUAUACUUACUAAAUUGUAAUGGACUACAAAUUUCAGUAAUCAAUUACAAAAUUAUAAUACGACUACAAUUUAUAACAAAGACAAAUACAAAAACAGUUCAAUCCAACUACAAAUUUUAGCAACCAACUACAAGCUACAGUUUAUAGUAAUUCACUACAAUUUACCGAAAACAACGACAAAUUCAUCAAAACCAACUACAAAAUCAUCGAAACCAUCUACAAUAUUAUCGAAAUGUACUACGAAAAUAGCGAAAUCAAUUUCAAAAGAAUAUAUUAUCUUGUACCGCGCGACUAAAUUGUAAGAGAAGGGUUGCAACCAAUACCAAACUCCAGCCUCACCGUGUCAAAACCAUCGACGCUACCAAGACUUAGAUAGCGACCAAUACCAAACCCCAUAGUCGUCUCGCGAAAAUAUUAACACUGUUGCGCAAAAAACAGUAAAAAAAACGCCACCAAUCGUGUUGUACCACCUAAUCCGCGGAUAUCUAUAUAUCACCAUCUCGUUGUUGCCGGAAUAGAUGAACGUAUUAAAAUGUCGUGGCUUUGAAGUGUAAGAAGAUCACCCUUGGAAAAGCACAGUUGUGGAAGACGUUCAGGUGGUUUCCGUUGUCGGAGAUUUCAUCAUAGUCGCCCAAGCCUUCGCCGCCGACCUAAUGCAACAAAUGAUUAUUUUUGUGAUUUCCGCCUCGGAUUGAAGAUUAGACGAUGAGCAGACAGAGAACGUGUAAAGAGAGAGAGUUGUGAAGACCGUGAGAAAGAAAAUUUUCGAAGUCAUAAGAAGUUGUAAGUUUUGUAUAGAAUAUGAGGGUAUAUUGAAUAUUUAUCAAAUAAUGUAUUUAUAUUUAAUUAAAAUAUAAAAUCAAGGGUCUUACUAAGAUGAAAAAAAAUAAUGGACUUGGAGAAAUGUAAAUGUGUUUUGAGGGUCUCCCUAGUUAAGCCUUAAAACAACAUGUCUUCCAAUUUCAAGUAAACAUAUUUCGAUUAACUUUUUUUUCAACUGGGCAAUAAAAAGACGUCGUUUCGGCCAUUUUAAUUCUUUAUUUUUUUCAUUAAAAAAUCAUAAUUUUGAAAAAAAAAUCGGAUUUUCACUUAGGUUAUGAUACUACGGCUCAACCGGUUAAAACCAAACAUGACAAGACAAUGGUUCACUGUUUAACCAGUCCAACCGGUCGGUUCUGUCAGGAAAUUAAAACACCGAUAUUAAUACAGUUUGAUAAAUUUCCAAACCAUCACGCAGCUGCUUAUGCAGUGCCUUUUUAUUUUAUCUUUUCUAGUACAUAGUUUAUUCAACAAAAAAAAUAAAAAAUAAUAUAGCUUAUUAUCAUUAUUUUCUUAUCUUAGGUUUGGAGCAUUUAUUUUUAGAGAAAAUUAAAUCAUGCUACGAAUUAGAAAGUAGGAGAAUAACAUGAUUCAUUACUACUUUAAACUUAACGAUGAACUAGUACCAGCUUUUAUUAUAAUAUUAGUUUAAAUUUUGUAUACUGAACAAUGUUAGAAGUUGUGCUAAAAUUCAAAACAAUGAUAAAUAUUGGAAUAAAUUGAAUAACGGGUUUCAAGCGUGAUUCAAAUUGCAAUCGAAGUCUCUUCCAUGGUGUGAUUUGAUGAAUUGUUUUUAGGUUUUUCAACUUGGAAAAAUAAUAGUAAGGUUUAACUGCAAUAAUUGUUAGUUAAAGGGGUUAAAGUCAUAUUAAUGCAUAGUUGGAGGGGUUGAAAUUACAUUGAUGUUUACUUUAAAGGCGUUUGAACUUUAAUUAGUUUAGCAAGUGAUCAAAUAAAAAGGCCUUUUCCGAUCAAUUGUAAUCUCUCCAAUCCCCAGAUUAAACCCCGUCGGUGGCAGUUGCAAUAUCGAUGCCCACCGUCGGCGCCGCCGCCACCGCCACCGGCCGUUAUCCCUCGCCGUAUUCUUUCUCGGCGCACGGUAAUUGGAGGAUGGAGCUGGUGAAGAGGAGAUGGGAAAAUAACAGGCAUUCCAACAAUACGACUACUGUAUUGGUUAAUGUGCUCCGGCUAUCUUCGCCGCCGUGGUUAUGGUGGUGGGAGAUAUACGGAGUUAAUUGGAUGUGGAAUUUCUUCAUAGGAUGGCUAUUUCCAGAUUGUAAGCCAUUAAAUUUACUGUUUUGAUGAAUCAUAUGAAAAUGCAAUUGCCUUUAAUUUCUCUAUGCUUUUUUUUGAUAGCAAAAUUUCGAGUACUUUGGUCGAAUUAAUUGGGGAACCUAAUACCUAAUUGAACUCUUGGGAGAUUCAUAUUUCCAGUGGUUUUUUUUUUUCCGUUUCCCUGUGAAUUAUUAUAUCAAUGUAUAAGUAUAAGUGAUUAUAUGAUUUUUUCGUAAAAAAAGAAGUGAUUAUAUGAUUAAUACCUAGGAUUAACACCAAUUGUUGCUCCUUAUUUAGAACUCGUAUUCUCUAUAGGAAAUUACUCAUCCAAAUAUUUAUCUCAUCUUCUUUGUAACUUGAUGGUUCCUACUAAUUUUGCUUCUCAUUAUUUGAAGGAAUAUGGGGCAUGAUCGAGAGCUGGUGAGAGAUGUAUUUUCAGUAUCAGGUAAUAUUUUAAUCUGGAUGUUGAAGAGUAGCCUUAGUAGUGUUUUGUUGAGUGUCAAAUAAUCAGAAAGUGCUUCAUCUGAUAUCAUAUAUAUGGAAGAGCAAAUAUCGCGGAAAUGAUUGCGUGACUUAGUUAUAUGAAAGAGCAUCUCGCUAUUGAGUUAUAUUAUGUUUUCAAUUACUUUUUUUCAAGUAUUGAUCAAAUAUAAUACACACAUUUCAAGUUACGAGAUGAGUUUCCAGGAUAUACUAUGAUUAACUUGAAUAAGUUCAAGAGAAAUUUUGUUUUAGGAAAACAAAAACUUAGAAAGAAAACGAGACCAGUCAAGAAGCCCUUGUACACUAAGAAGCCCUUGUUGUAGUUUCUUAAAAAAAAACAUUGGUCUUAUAAAUGGCCUACAACCCGUUCGCAAAGAGACUUGAACCCUCGACUUAAUACAAGAUAACAUACUUAAGAAAUGCAAGAUAAUCAUCAAAUAGGACUCUUUUGUGUGUCAUGGUAAUAAAACAAUUGAAAUUCUGGUUGCCUAAAAAUCCACUGAUUUCCACAGUUUUAAUAUGGCAAUGAUUUAUUGGUCACGAUGUACAGUCUUGAAUAUAAUAACUAAUUUGCUUAAGCAUUUAAGGAGUGCACCAACAUUAGAAGCCGCUAUUCAAUAAUAUUUUGUGAUCAUUUAGACGAUAAAGUAGUCGCAAAAGAGCUUUUUUAGCAAUGGUCUUGGGUUGUUCAGUCUUUGAGUUUUUGCUUUUUUCAUACAUAGGUAAACUAAAUUAAUGGCUCAAGGAAGUUCACAAUAGACUGUAUGGUACAUUUCAUAUCUCGCCAAAUGUCAUUUUGCUGCCAGCUAUGGUUGGUGUAAUUGCUAAUAUGUAAAAUUAGCUGGCAUCGUCACUGGAUAUGAAGCAAUUUAUUAGGGGUCGAUACAAUCAAUGCUGACCUUAUCGGAUUUACUGGCGGACUUUCCCACAAAUAAAUUUUACCCUACCCUCCCUACUCCCUAUUCCCAUUCUACUUUCUCACACAUUCUCUGCAUCUCUCAAUACCUUGUUCAAUUUUCGAUCUCCAUCUCCUCAUUUUCUCUUAUCAAAGGUUCAAACUCAGAGGAGUUUGUGAUCUGAUUUAGGUGAUUUUACUUCAUUUUGUGUUUGUAUGAUGCCUAUGUUUUUAUGUUAUUUUUUGUUGGUUUUCCUUUUUUUCUUUCUUCGUAAACUAGAUCAACUGAGUGGUUACUAAUUUUCCAUCACUUUCAUGUUUCGUUUCAUGACUUACACGAUAUCUUUUAUUUUAGAUUAGAAAGAACAUGUGUUUGUUCUCAUCUUGAUUUUGAAGAUAGAUUUUGGACUAGUUAUUUUAUUCCUCCUUUUGGUGGUUGUUUUAGUGGUUAUGUUGUUCAAACUAACAAUUUUGGAAAACUUUUGUUACGUAAAUAAGGUGGGUUUAAUCUCUGCUUGUAAUUAAAACAUAAAAUAAUAAAUUACAAGUAGAAUGGAGCAACCCUUAUGAAGAAACCAAUAACUACUAUGAUAUUUACUUUGCAGUUUGUUUCUACUUGAUUAUGAGCCAUUUGAUUAAGCUGUUAAACUUGUACUCAUAUAUUCUCGAAUAUUAUUCUUUUGUCUCUGCUGUAACCCAUUUCUUCAAAUAAAUGUACAAAUGCUUAGUGGUUUAAAUUUGGUUGUUAUUCUCUGCUAGUCUUUAGGUUACAAUACAUGCAUGUCUUGAAAUAACUUCAUUCUCUCAUAGAUUUUGUAACCUUUAAAAAAUAUUUUCCAGCGUAGGCUAUCUAAACAUAUUAACAAUUUAAUUUUAAUUUUUGUAAUAUUUAUUUAACAGAUUAUGGAGAAUUAGGACCAGUUUCAUUGUCAGUGUGCAUAAGUAGUAAGUAGCAAUAAUAUAAAAUAAUUUUCUUCUUUCUAAAAUGUCCUUAAGGAAUGCUAAUUCUAGAUUUUCUUCCUGGAUUACUCCAAUUUACAGGCAUGGCAAGUUAAAAAGUUUUUUUGGUCGGUGAAAAGGAAAAUUAUUUAUAUAUUCUGUUGAUAUGCAUAAGUAGUAAGUAGCAAUAAUAUAAAUAAAUUUCCUAGAAUGUCCUUAAGGAAUAUAAUUCGAGAUUUACUUCCUGGGGCCCUCCAUUUUACACGCAUGGUAAGUAAAAACGUUUUUGGUCGGUGAAAAGGAAAAUUAUUUAUAUAUUUUGUAAAUCUGCAUAAGAUUAUACUAAUAAGCAUAAAAUUGCAAUAGUCAGUAUUAGAUUGCAGUAAGCAGUAUCGGAUUACAGUAAUCAACACAAUUUUCCUUUUUUGCUGGUAAGACAUCCUUAUUUGGUCUUCCCUGGAACAAUUAUGCAUACAUUUUUGCCAUUGCAGUUAAGAGAACGCGGUGCCUGAUUGAGAAAACGAUUGAAAAACAAGAUUUACAAAGACAAUUAGGAGUUGAAAUGAUGCCGUGGAGAAGUACAAAUGAAGAUGCAUCUUCUGCUGGAAAUAUGCAGAUGAACGAACCCAACUUAAAGGUAAAUUAGUAAUGUUAAUUGUGACAGAUCUAUCUGAAAAAAAAUGUGCCUUCCGUGUAUUCUGUAUAUCAAUCAAGUUUUGAAAUCUAUCAUAUCCUUGACCAUUACAUAACUAUGAACAACAUUUUAUUCAAAAGUGAGGACAAUGAGUUCCUGUGUUAAUACUUUUUUCUUUGGGUGUGGCAGAGGAAAAGAAGUGAUUCAAAUAAUUGCCAUCAAUGUCGCAGAAACGACAAAGGAAGAGUCGUAAGAUGCACAAGGUGCAAUAAAAAGGGUUACUGUAUUACAUGCAUCACAAAAUGGUGAGGAAUUGUGUUUUUUUUUUCGUUCCCAUUUUUCAGCUCUAUAUUAUGGUACUAACGUCUUUUCUUAUAACAAAAAUCAUUGGUUGGAAACAUGUUUUGAAGUAAAUGAAUCAAAUGUUUCCACACUAGAAUUAUUUCCUGCACCCUCAUGCUUAUAGUUAUAAAUGUGGAAGAUAAACAAUUACACGAUGACAUUCUUUUUUGUUCGCCAACUAUUGCAUAUUUUUUCUCUCCGUGUACUGAUAGCAUGAAAUAAUUAGUUGCUUUGUGUUUUCUGCCAUAAUAUUUGGUUAAAGUUUCAUCUGCACUACAACUAUUCAGUUUCACUGUUUGAACAAUAUUGUAUGAAUAAGAUUGUAUUUAAUUCCAUCAUGUCAAUCAUAUCAGUUCUGUUUUGCUUUUGUUGCUUAUAUGUUGUGGUAUACCUUAAAUCUUUGUUUUAUCUUUUCUCUUCAAUGUCAAAUUAUUUGGUAAACUGCUUCAUGUUUUUUGAGACUGAAAUGUACUUAUAAUUUCUGAAUUGUUCUUUAGCAAACUUGAUUUUCGAUUUUACUGCCUAAACGGUAUAUUUAUUAUCUUCUCUUUGGAAGAUGGCAGUCCAUGCCCUUUCCGGUUGAGGCAUAUCUUAUACUCAUUUUUACAGAACUUUGCUUAAAUGAAUCAUCAUGCUUAUAUUGAUGUUUUUUCGUCAAUGUUCUUGCAUAUAUAUUUACUAUAUCUUUGUGGUAAUUACAGGUAUGCAGGGAUGCAUGAGACAUAUUUUGCUGAAGCAUGCCCCAGUUGUCGCAACAUUUGCAACUGUACAGCUUGCUUACAGUCUGAUGUGGCUAAUCAAGUUCGUAUUGAAGUACACUUAUCUUGAUUUUAUCUUGAUAUAGAAUUAUAUAUUUUUUAAUUAUUUUAUUGUUCUUGCAUGUUAGGAAUUGGUGAUCCCAGACCUUUGCAUCAGUGACAAGACUCAGUACUCAAAGUAUAUUGUUCGAGUACUUCUUCCGUUCUUGAAGAACUUUGUCACUGAGCAAAAUAUGGAAACAGACCACGAGGCCAGAAUUCAAGGUAAUUUUAACUUUUGUUAGGAGUUUUGAAGUUCACCCGGAUUACACUUUUUUUUUGGAAGCUUAGUUUGCAUUCGCUGCCUGAAAAGAAAGUCAAAGAGUCUUAGAAUGGUGUUUAAUGCGAUGUAGAACUCGUCAAUAUCUUCAUUUUUGGAAAUUUCAGGGACAUCUAACAAUAUUAUUUUCUGCGGUGUAGAAGUAUUAAGCAUAUCUAAAGUUCAUGGUUACGACUUGUUUCCAUAUCAAUAAUAGUUUCACUGCUGGAUGAAAUACAAUAUUUUUUUGGUUGGACAGGCUUAUCGGUUGCAGGACUACGGCUUCCCAAAGCAAACCAUAGCCAUGAAUAUCAACUGAAAAAAUGGUGGAUAUUUCGAACUAAUUUCUUUUCUUGAUAAUUCUCUGCUCCAAUAUGCAAAAUGUUGAUUUUAGAACUUAUUAUGUGCAGCGGUAAUUGCAAAUCUUCAGUAUUUGAUAUUCACCGAAGCUGCCCAAACUGUUCAUAUAAGCUUUGUGCGAGCUGCUGCCAAGAGAUUAGAAACGGCUUUGUUUCUGACUGUAAACUGACAAAUAACGGUGACAUUAUUUGUCCACCUCAAGGCAUGGGGGGCUGUGGUCCGAGGAUUCUGGAGUUGAAGUCCACGUAUCCAGUUAACUGGAUAUCGGAACUGCUAACAAAAGCAGAAUCCGU
rnacentral:lncRNA from 1 species